rnacentral:lncRNA from 1 species
UCUUGCACUCAAAGGGCUUCUCAAUCACUAUAGUUCACCCUGAAUUGAACUCUCCUAACCCUUCAAACCACCCCGAGUUCACCUUCGUAUCCAUACCAGAUAAGCUCACGGAAUCUCAACUCUCUGAUAAAAAUGUUACAGGUCUUGUGUGGAGUCUGAACAAAACCUGUCCAGUACCGUUACGGCAAUGCCUCGAAAAGAUCUUGCACUCUCAUCACCAUAUUGCCGCACUCAUCUAUGAUACACAAAUGUAUUGUGCUCAAACUAUCGCCGACGAUCUGGGGCUACCCGGGAUAACUUUGCGUACAAGUGCUGCUACAACAUUGCUAUUAUAUCCCGUCUUUUCUCAACUUGAUGAGGAAGGUAUAUAUAUUUUUAACGUCCGGUUGUAACAAGUUCUAUAGCAUGAUAUCUAUACCUAAUACUAUAGUUGUCUCUAAAAUUUUCUCCAGCUAGAUUUUGGGAUAUUGAUGCAUGGUUUUAUGACAGCAAAGCAAUGCCCUUUAGGAAUUUAUCUAGGUUAUUUUAGAUAUUUAGUUAGAUAUGUAGUAAAUGAUGGCACCUUUGGAAUCAUGGGUAUCUUCUUUUGGUUAAUUGAACUAAAAGUCUCCAAAUUAUCAAUAAAAUUUUAAAUUAGCCUCUAAAAUUCAAUAUAUUUUAAUUGAGUCACCACGUUUCUAUUUAAAUAUGACCUAGAGCAUAUUUAAAAUAUGCAAAUUUGAGUUAAUUGUAAAAAUGGUAAGAUAUUCUAAUUGAGUCAUUAGGUAGUUUCGUGGAUUUAGACAUCAUGACAUAAAAUGUCAGUUUGAAUUUGACAUGAAACAUAUUUAAAAUAUGCUAAUCAAAUUGUAAGCAUGUGUGUAUCUAUUGUUUGAACAAUUUGGAUAUUAAAAACAAACAAUAUUAGUAAAAUAUAGGAGGGUUAUUUUUUUCCCCUAUGCACACAUAAAUUCAAGUUAUUCAUGCAGUAAUAAGACACAUGUUUCCAAUUUGAUCAAUGUAUUUUAAAUAUGCUCCACGUCAUAUUUGAGCUGACAUGUAACACCCAAACUAGUCACUAAGUUGACAAAAACUCAAUUAGAACAUUUUGAAAUAUAGAUAGCAAGUUAUAUAUUUUUGUUAUAUAUAUAUAUUAUUGUGUUCUAUAUUCAUGUUGAUUUUCGUGUAGUUUUGUAUAAUUGCAUAGUCUGUUUUCUUUAUUCAAUUUAAAAACAAUCCAGAUUUUAAUACAUAGUAUAGUUUUUAUGGUGUAUAUUUGUUAUCAAGAUUUUCUUUGUAUGUACUAAAUAUCUCAUAUUUUACACCAUUGGUUGCAAUGGUUUAUUUUAAAAUUAAAGCAACCCUUCUAGUUGCCUUAAAAGCAAUUGAUGCAUAAUUUUUGUCUGUUUUUCAUAACCAUUUCUAAUGUUAUAACAAUCCACUAAUUCCGUCAUCACCCUAACCUAUUUAAAUUUGUGUUCUAGAUUUUAUGUCUGAAAUUAAAUCGCCAGAGCUUCAAGCUCUUCAUCUUCAACGCCUUCGGGGAUUAUUAUCACAAAAUCCAGCCAAAGAGAUGAUGGAAAUAAGGGUUGAACUCACAAACGCGCUGAAGAGCUCAUUAGCUAUAAUUGUGAACUCGAUGGAAUUUCUUGAACUAGAAGCACUGUCAAAGGUCAAACAAUACUUCCCUGCUCCGAUUAUCACUAUAGGACCAUUACAUAAAUUAGCUCCAGCCAUUUGCAGCUCAUUAUUUACUGAAGAAGAUAAAUGCAUCUCUUGGCUUAACAAACAGGCUCCCAAAUCUGUCAUCUAUGUGAGCCUUGGUAGCAUGGCCAGCAUUGAUAGGCAAGAACUAAUUGAGAUAGCUUGGGGACUAUCCAAUAGUAAACAACCCUUCCUGUGGGUGGUUAGGCCUGGUAUGGUUCGUGGCUCAGAAUGGAUUGAAUCAUUGCCAAAUGGGUUUGAGGAGAGUGUGGGAGAAAGAGGUUGCAUUGUGAAAUGGGCACCUCAAACGGAAGUGCUGGCUCACGCUGCAGUGGGGGGAUUUUGGAGCCACUGUGGAUGGAAUUCAACCAUUGAGAGUAUUUGUGAAGGGGUACCAAUGCUAUGCAAACCUUUCUUUGGAGACCAACACUUGAACACAAGCUACAUCUGUAAUGUCUGGAAAAUAGGAUUGGAAUUGCAGAAUCUGGAAAGAGGGAAUAUAGAAAGAACAAUAAAAAGACUAAUGGUGGAUAUGGAAGGAAACGAUAUCCGAAAGAGAGCUAUGGAUUUGAAGGAGAAAGCAGCUUUUUGUCUAGUGGAGGAGGGUUCUACAAGUUGUUCUUUCAAUGGGUUAACAAAGCAUAUAUCAUCAGCUUCAGAGACAUGAAAUCAAGCAUCCUUGUAGUGUUACUUUCAGUUUAUAGUAUGGGAUUGUGAUUUGUGUAACUUAUUGAUAAGUUGGCAUCUAGAAAAAGCACAAACAUAUGCAGAAUAAAUAUGGUUGUAUUAUAUUUUUUUAUAACAAGUUUGAGAUUAAUCCAAUUCGAGUCGAGAAUGGUAUUUAAGCAAAGUCUUUGCAAUAAUAAUGAUUUUAAGAUAAAAAUUUAGUUCAAAUUUUCAAGAAAAGAAGUUGACUUCCAAUCUCUUGUUGAUUUUAUUAAACAUUUUAUAUUAUUAGACAAAACCAUAAAACAUCUAAGAAACAUUUCAAACUUCUUUAGAAAAUAAAGAAUUGAUUCAAAGCUUUAAACCAAAACUCUCCAUGGAUUUGACAUCAGACCUCUUCACUUCCUCAGAAACAAUUACAGUAAGAAUCCUAUUUUCUUGUAUCAUCACCUAUGGAGUAACGAUACGGGGAUGUGCUACUUAAGUUUUUUAGAUUUUUUUCUCUCACUUAAAUUCUAAUUAACCAAGAGAUAUUCUAAUUAUAUAUGCUACGAAUUUUAGUUUUUGUUCUUUCUUUCAGGGUUUUUAAUUUUCCUUUUGAUUCUUUUAUUCUCUUGUAUUCUUCUAUUAUUAUGGUGAAUCCCUUUCAAGUAUAAAGAAAACCCAUUAAUUAGCUUAAAACCAAAAUUCCUUCUACCAUGUUUAAGCUUUGUUGAGAAUAUGCUUUAAACUUGCUGAAUAUACAUUAUUCUUUCACAUUUCCUGUGCUUGAUAAUUUUUACUAAAAUGCCAACAAGUCUUCUCCUUAAGUUUAUAGCCUAAAGCUUUUUUGCUACACAAGUAUACAUUAUCAUUCAUUUCUUUUUAUUUUAAUUAGAAAUGAGUUCGUAAUUUAUUAUUUUCUUAAAGACUGCCACAAUCAAGUUAACAAUAACAUUGCCUGCUAUGUCAUCAGAAUGACAUAAUUAGCUCAAUUAACUUAUUCAAGUAAUUGUAGGAAGAACCACCUUCUCUGAUAUCGAGUUGAAUCCUCUCCUUCAAGUUUUUAGCCCUCUGCCUCAUCUCUUUCCCUUCUUUAUCUACCAUUAACCUCUUUAUAGCUCUCUCUACCUCUCCUCUUUCACACAUAUUCUCCAAUUGUAUGCCGAUUCUCCACACUUGACUUACAUGCCGAGCAUUGACCCUUUGAUCACCAAAACAUGGUUUGCAGAUCAUUGGAACCCCUUUUGAUAUGCUUUCCAGUGUUGAAUUCCAACCGCAGUGCGUCCAAAACCCUCCCACGGCGCCAUGUGCUAACACCUCCUUCUGGGGUGCCCAUUUUACAAUACACCCAUUUUCACCAACAGCUUCUACAAAACCCUCUGUCGACAACUUUUUCCAUUCCUGAUCAUCAACUGACCCUGGUCUAAUAACCCACAAGAAUGGCUGCUUACUAUUGGCUAAACCCCAAGCCAUUUCACCCAGCUCCUUCUUGUCUACAGAUGCUACACUCCCCAAGCUUACAUAUAGAACUGUGUUCUGUUUUUGCUUCUCAAGCCAUGUAAUGCAGCUGUUGUCCUCUUUUAUUAAGCUGCUUGAGGCAGGGGCUACUUCGUGCAAAGGACCGACUGGGAAUAUGCCAACUUGGCAUUGUUUUUGAAUCUCUUGCAAUGACGGCUGUUCAAGGACAUCAUUAGUAUUCCAGAUAAUUGCUGAAGAUGUUCUUGUCUUGUAUAUGUUAGUUAUAAACUGCAAGAAAAUUUCUGGUGUUCCAAUCUUGGACACAGGCAGAUCCUUGAAUCUGAGGGGAUGAAGCCCAGGCACCAAGUCUUGCGAUGUUGAACCUAGGUAAAAAAUAUUGAACAAUGAUUCAAGGGCGCUGAUCAAAGAUGCUACAGCCCCUUGGAUAUUUGUGCUACUGAAAAAACUGCACAAGAAGUAACCACCCUAGGAAUCUAAUAAGUUCGGUUAUAUAUGCUGUAGUAAAACAUCAUACGUACCUUGUGAAGUAAGAACACCUUCAGCUUUGAGUUGGAGAAUGGCAUUUCGAGAAAGGUAUGUUGAAGCACUGGUGGUUCGCAAGACUAUACUGGGAAGCUUCACAUACUUGGCUACUGCAUCACAGAAAUACAUGCAUUCAUCAUAGACAAUGCAGGCAAUACUUGGCUCAUUUUCUACCUCUUGUUUUUGUACCAUCUUGGCCAAGCAUUCUUGGAAGGGAACUCCACAAUUCAGGUUAAGAAGUGAUAUAAAAGGUAGUAAAUCGUCGGCAGAGAUGAGUUGCUCGGAUAAGUUAUCAGGUAUUGAUACGAACCCAAAUUCAGGAUAGUUUGAGGGAAUAGGGGAGUUGAAUGCCGUGUGAAGAACUGUGAUGGAGAAGCCUUUAGAGUGAAGAAUGGAACCAAGCUGAAGCAUUGGAUUUAUGUGGCCUUGGAAUGGUAAUGCAACUAAUACAAGCCGGGGAUGGCUGCUCCUAUGCUCCUUUUCCAUCUCCAUCCUCUCAUCAAUCUUUGUAAGCUAUGCAGCACGGAUCUUGUAUCAUACGAGUAUCUGCACCGGACACCCAGAUAUUUCCAGGACACGAGAAGCAUAAAAGUGGCUGAUGAUAUCUAGGAAAAAUUGGUGGACACUAAGCGGCAGAUUAAGAUGAGCUUCAGCAACAAGUGAACAAAUAAGAUAUUUUAAUUAUAUUAGGCUUAGCCAACUCAUUUGAGUUGUUGGGCAUAACUCCAACUUGAUAAAAAUAUAUCUUAUCCUCGUGUUUUGUUGUACCGUAAUUUCAUUCUUUUUAAAAAAAUUUGUCAUAAUCCUCUUGGUAUAGCAUGUUCAUGUUUGUGCUUCAUCAUCUGUAAGUUGUCAAAUUUUCGUCUAUCAUUUUCUUUUAUAAAUAAAUAGGAUAUCUCAUAAAAUGCUGAUGUGGGAAUUUGUUGGUCAUAAAUAAAUGGCCAUUUCAGAUUCGGAUGCUAGCUAAGCUCACUGAAGCUAUUUUGGCAGUGUUGAUUACAUUUUUAGGCGUAAUUUGUUGUUUUUAUAAAACCUAAUUUCAUUGAGGAAAUUUUUUGAAUACUUAUAUAAACUUAGCAACUUUUCUUAAGUUAGUAUUUAAAUUUUUAACCAAAUUAAUCUCUUACUAUUAAAUUGUGAUAACAUGUCAUAUUAGCUUACAUUUGAAAAUAUAUUGGCGAUUCCUAAUUACUUCAUGCAGUCUAUGCUGAACCAUAAAGGCCUUUGCGAGGAAAUUGAGAGAAUGGUGUGCCAAUUUGUUUGGGGUUCUUCGAGGAGGAGUCGAAAAGUGGCUUUCGUUGGCUGGGAAGACGUUUUCCAACCUCGGGAGCAUGGAGAGAUUGGCUUCCUAAAACUUCAGGAUCAUAAUAAUUCCUUCAUGAGUAUCGAUGCUAUUAAGGUCUCUUAUAGCUAGGCCAAACAAUUUAUGAUGACAGCUAGGGGCCCAACGAAACCACUUCAGGCUUCAAUUUCGUAUUCCAAUCUACAUGGAGUGUUAGAGUUGAGUGACUCGAAUCAUUAUUAAAAGAAAAUACAGUGAUAAAAUAAAAUACAAGUAAAAUCCAUAUAUAACUGUACUUCUUUUAUUUUACAUUGAUUAGAACAAGGUUUUUCAACCUUACUACACUUCAGCUAUUUGACAUUUAUUAGAAUAAAGUUUUUCAACCUAUAAAUAGAUGUAGUCUAAACUCCUAUUGAAUUUUCUUCUCCUCUGCCCGUGGUUUUUCCCGAAAGGGUUUUCCACGUAAAAAUCUGUAUGUUUUACUUUUAUUUUUCUUAUUGCUUUGCAGUCGUUCUAUAUUAUCAUUAUUGACAUUAGUUUCUACAUGGAAACUAGGUCUACUUGAAUACUGAUGGUUCCGUAAGGUUAGAGGUUGACUCUGCUUUAGCAGGAGGAAUUGUGCGAGACAAAGUUGGGAAUUGGAUCUUUGGCUUUAAUAGAUUCUUAGGGACUUGUUUAGUGUUUGAGGUUGAAUUGUGGGGCAUCUUAGAUGGCUUAGACAUCUUGAUUGAUCGAGGCUAUGAUAAUGUGCUGGUUCAAACGGAUAGUCUUGAAGUGGCUACUGCCGUAUAGGAGGGACUCACAGAAUGAUCUAACUCUUGUUUGAUUAGGAGAAUUCUUCAGCGGUUUUCUCGACUUCAACAUUGGAGCAUCUGUUAUAUCCCUAGAGAAGAAAAUCAGGAAGCUGAUAGACUGGUUAAAUUGUCCCAUUUGGAUAGUCAAGGAUUACAAGUUUUUGAAGUAUCUCCAUUUGGGGAAAUGGGUCUUUUGUGAUGUAAUUUGUAUUUUUAUUUUCUUCUUUGUCACCAAAAAAAAUAUAAAUAUUAUAUUAUUUUAAAGAUUAAAAAUCUCAAAAACUAAAAAAGUAUAAAUUUAAAAUUAUAUGAGAAUAUAAAAUUUAGAAAUAUAUAUUAAAAAUAUAAAAAUGAAAUUAUAUAUAGCUGGAAACAAAUUAUAAAAAGUAGUUAAAAUUUUAGAAAAUUUAAAAAAAGUUGGUAAAUUCAAAGACAUACAAUUCAAUUAUAUGCUACUGUUCCCAAAUUUAAAAAUAAUUGGGGAGAGAUUUGUGAGUUGGGUGGGGUAAUAUCUUAUUUAGGCAUGAAGUCAAAAAGAAAAAUAUUUAUUUAUUUUUUAUUUAAUAUAGAAAUAAAAAAGGAAGUAAAGUUGAAUCUAAUCACAUUUCGUGGAGGAAUUGAAUAUUUUUAUUUUGGAAACCUUUAUUUUUAAAGUUUAUGCCUAGGUCCUUCCAUACUUUACAUGUUUAUAUAAUGGUUUUCAAUUUGGUUUUAAUUUGUUCUAUUAUUGAUUUUCGUUUAUAUUUCUUUUAUUUGGUUUAACUUCGCUUUUUUAUUCGAAUAAUAUAAAAAAUAAUUACUUAUGAAGAAGUAUGGAAAACAGAUUGAUUACAAAAAUAAGUAUUUGCUACAGUAUUUUGACAGUGUCGCUUGAUAUAUUGACAGCACCAGAUUAAAAUAUGAUGAUCUAAAAUAUUCAGGGACCUAAUCUAUAAAUUUAUCAUUUUUAUUGGCAGCUGAAAAAAAAAAAGAAGCUUCAAGGGUGCCGUGCGUAAUCAAACUUUAAAUAGGGUAAAUUGCUUCAUAAAUCCCCCCUUUUUUAUUAUUUUCUUUUAUUCUCUUUUAACACCAAAUAUAGAGAGGUCUCUUACCAAUUAGUCCAAAAAAAUUUCUCUACCAAAAAGUAUUUUUUAUAUAAAAAAGCCAAUUCCAACUAAAAAUAAAUCUUAUUUAUUUUUCAAAAAAUAAUUAUAAUUUUAUUAUCAGUUUGAUUUAUAGACACGAUAUAAAGUUAUAAUUAUAAAAGCUUUAGAAAAAUCUUAUUAUGUAUACAUUAUAAUUAUUAGUUAAAUUUAUUAUUUCCAAAUAUAAAGUGAACAAAAAAAACUACUAUGAAUACCGCUAACUGCUAUAUCAGACAUAGUUUAAACAAAAAAAAUAUUUUCUAAAAAUAAAUCAAAUUUAUUUCCAGCUGGAAUCGGUUUUUUUACAAAAAUAUUUUUUGGUAAAAUUUUUUUGGACUAAUUGGUAGGAGGCCUCUCUAUUUUUGGUGUUAAAGGGGAAUAAAAAUAAAAAUAAAUAAUGGGAGUUUAUGAAGCAAUUUACCCUAUUUAAAAUUUGGUGACGCCACCUUAAAAGCCUUUUCUCCAACUAUCAAUCAAAAUGAUAAAUUUACAAAGCAGGUAUUUGAAUAUUUUAGGUCAUCACAUUUCAAUUUGGUGUCACCAAUAUGUCAGGCGGCACCGUCAGAACAUUGUAGCAAAUACUUAUUUUCGUAAUUAAUUAUUUUUAAAUUGUUUGAGUAAAAAAACGGAUUAAAUUAUUAUAUAAUUUAGCUUAAACUAUGACGAAUAUAUAAAAGUUUAUGUGUGAUUAUUUAAUUUAAUUUUUAUAAGAAAGAGAUUCUUCAAAUUGAAUGAUUUUUCAAAAUUAUUUUGAAGAUGCUUAAAUAAUUAUUUGGUAACAAAAUUUGAAGGUGUUGAAGCAGAAAAAAAUAAAGAUAUUCAUCAGGUUUAAGAUACAUUCAUCCGAUAUCGAGUAUCAAGAAUGUUCACAAUUUUUUGUACUGUUUUAGCAUCAAUUUCUAAAGUUGUAUAAAAUUUUAAAAAUAAUUAAAACAAAGAUAAAUAAGAGAAAUUAGAUUAGAGAUUCAGCGAGCCCUUUAAUGUGAAAUUUGAACAAGGACUUGGGUGCAAAUUGACCAUUAUUAAUAAUUGUAGACACCCAUUUUUAUCCGAGCCCAAUUGGAGGCUCAUAUAAAUUUUUGUUUUCUCUUGGACCAUUCGAAGCCUACCCGAUUUUAGUCAAUUUAAGACCUUUAUUUUUCUUUUUUUUUGGGGCCUGUUAAGGGCCUAAAUUAUUAUUAUUAUCAUUACUACUACUAUUAUUAAAUAUUAUUAUUAUCUUUUUUUACAAAUAAACAAGUUUAACAAAACAAUAUAUAUAGAUGAAAUAAAAUGAAAGAAAAAAAGAGGAGGCUUUUCACAUUUUUUUCUUAAAAGAAAAAGGUAAAAAAAAAAAGCAUUCUAUUUCUUUUUCUUUUCAUAUACAUAUAUUGAGGGAUCGGGUUCGGGCUCCGAUGAAGGGGACAUCAUCGGAAUGUUGGUCCUCCGCCCCUAGGAGCCUCAAAAAUCCCGUUUUUUCCCUUCCCCUUCCUAAAAUAAAAGUUUUUUUUUUUUUGAAAAAAAGGCUUGAUAUUAGGAAAAGUUUUGAUUUUUUUUAAAAAAAAAUAGAAAGUUUAGAUUUUAAAAAUAAAAAUAUAUUUUUUUAGUCAUUUCAAAGGAAAGUUUAAAAUUUUAAAAUAGAAUUUUUAUUUUUUGUAACUAUUUCGAAAUAAAAAUUUUGAUUUUUAAGAAAAAUAGCGAUUUUUUUUAAAAAAGGAGAAAAUUUAGAUUUUUAAAAUAAAAAUCUAUUUUUUAGUCAUUUUUAAGGAAAAGUUUAAAUUUUUUAAAAUAAAGUUUUUAUUUUUUAACUAUUUCGAAAUAAAAGCUUUGGUUUUUAAGAAAAGUAGUGAUUUAAAAAAAAAUUUAUUUUUGCAAAAAAAAUAAAAUAAUUUUCGACCACUGUAUGUGGCGGCUCCACCACCAGAGGCCGGAGAGCCGUUGGGCUCUCUAGUGGUGGAGUCAUGACUAACAUAGAAGGAGGAAGAGAAAGAGGAAGAUGUUUUUUUUUUUUUGAAAAAAAAUGAGGUUAAAAUUAAAGAAUGGAUAGUUUUUUUUUUUUCAUUUAUAGGUGCCAAAAAUGGGCAAUUUAUUUCCACCCCCUUAUUUUUUAAAUUUACAAAAAAUACCCCUUUUUUACAGCACCGCCUUUACUCUCUGACCUAUUUACACCCAUAACAUUUUUAUUUAUUCAAACCUUCGAUUUAAUCCAAAAUUUAUAAAUUAAAAGCAAAUUAAUUGCUACAUCAGUCAUCUGUCUUCUAUAUUUUUUUUAUCUUUUAGUCCCCAAAAUAAAGUUAUAUCAUUUUGUUUCCAUCUUUAAUAAAUUAUUUACAUUAUAUCUUCCCUUUCAUUUGUAUUUAUACCUUAUAUAUUUAAUGUCAAUUAUGCAUUUUAUUUUAAUGUUUUACAUUUAUUCACAAUUGUAUAAUUUUUAUUUAUUCUUAUUUCGUCUUUAUUUAUUUUCAUGUCUAUUUAUAUUUAUGUUUUUUUUACACAUUCCCCUUAAAUACAUUUUAAUAUUAUUUAUUUAUGUUACUUUGAUUCUUUUGUUGUAUUAUGAAUAAGGUGUAAUAUUGUUAUUAUUAUCAUCAUCAUGUCAAUGUCUUAUUUAUUUCAUUUAUUUAAGUGUUAUUUUUAUUAUUGUCAUUUUGAAAGAGUUUUAACUUUUCAUUAACUUUAGCCAAUUUAAUUAAUUUUCCUAUUUUAUUACUAUUCAUUUUAAAAGAGGGAACUUUAGGUCAUUUUUUCAUCCUAUAAUUAUUGACAUGAAGUUAGUUAAGUAGGUGUUACAUUUUAAUGAAACCAUAAGAUUUUUACAUUUGGAUUUAGGUUAGUCUUUAAGAUCUUAUCUACCAUUUACCCUAAAAAAAUAUAAAUAAUAUGUAGGAAUUUUUUUUUUUUUGGAUUUUAAACUAAUUUUAAAUAUCGUAUAGGAUUCCUCUUUAGAAUCUUAAAUUAAUAUGUAAUAUUCUUUAGGACUUUAUUCAAGAUUAAAACUAAAGAAUUUUGUAGGUGAAUUGUAAUCAUGAGUAGGUCUUUCUAAGUAUUUUAUUUUAGAAACCUUUUAAGAAAGCUAAUAAUUAUUAUUUAAGAUAUAUUAUUUUAGAAUUUUUACGAAUUUAAACCCUAGAUCAAGAAUUUUAAAGUAAAAUAAAUCAUAAACCCAACAUAGGAUACUUUCGUAAGAUCUUGAUAGGUUCAACAUUAUUAAUUAAUUAAUUAAUGAAUAAUAAUAAUAAAAGAUCGAAUAAGUUGUAGAUGAAUUUUAAAUUUCUCUUAAUUCAUUGGUAAUUUCUAGGUUUUUUUUAGAAUUCUAAAAUAGAAUUAAUUUUAGGAAUUGAAGGUAUUUUACUAGAAUUAUUUAGGUAUCUUUUAGGGUUCCCGUUAAAAGUAAAAAUCUCUAAUUUAAGUCUCAAAUUAGAUAAGUUUGGUGAACACAUCUUAAUUGAGUUACAAGUAAAUCGGAGGCAUUUUCUUUAGAGUUUUUAUUUAAGAUUUCUAUAAGAUUUUAGCUUAGAUUAAGACAUUAAUAUGCUUAAAUAAAAAAUCCUAACUCCUAAGACCAUGUAAGACUUCCCCGAGAGGCGUUGUGGGGGUGCUAUAACCUUCCCCACACGUAACUAUACUCUUGAACCCGAAAUUUGGUGAUGAGAUCGAGUCUAAACUUUUAGGAUUUUUCCGUAGUAGUAAUUCUAAACUUUUAGACAAUAGGUGGCUAGCCAACCUAGCCUAAUUGGUUAGUGGCGACUCUACGUUAAUUUAGGCCCUCCGUGUCUAGUUUUGCUUACUAAGCCCCUUCACUCUUAUGUAGGCAACGUUAUGACAAUAAUGACUUCGUUAAUAAUCAUAAUCAUAUCCAUCAAUUUCCACUAAGAUUAGUAAUACUAAACCAUGUCCAUUGAUUUAUUAACUAAGUUUAAAUUAAGUUUUAUGAUAAUGAUAAUAAUAUGGAAACAUGAAAGAAAAAUGAAAAAGAUGAAGUUAGUGGACUUAUUUUUUUUCAUCUUCUCCAAUGGCAACAAGGGAAAAAAGAGAGAGAGAAGAUUUCGCAUGCUUCCAAACACCAUGGCCGUGAACCAUCGAUCUAGGUAAGAAGGUUUUUUCUUACAUCUUUUAGUUAGAUUAUUAGUUUAGGAGAUUAGAUUCAACUAGCUUAUCCAUUAAUGCUACAUUUGGUAGGAGUGUUAUUUUUUUUACGUAUAUUUUAGUAUAUGUAUUAACAAUAAACUAAUUCAAUUGGUAAUAUUUAACUAAUCUUAUGAUUUACUUUUAGCAAAGAGAAAGAAACUUUUUUUGCUUAUUUUGAAUAAGUCUUAUUUUUUUACAAAAGUUAUUAUUCAUCUUUCUAAUUUCAAGUUUAUAUUUGUAGUAACUAUUCUUUAUUUUAUAUCUAAUUAUUGCAAUACAUGUAAUAAAUAAGUUCUUUCCUCAUGUUAUUACAUUAAUAACCAAACGAGACAUUAUGAUGAAAUUGAGUAAGGUUUUGUUUAGAUAAUCAUUGAUGAACAUAUAGAAAACUAGAGAGAGGAAGCUUGAUCUUGCAUAUUUAGUUGUUUCAAACUUGAAUUAUGUGGAUAUAAGCUUAUAUGUUAAUGGGUUAUGUUGUAGACAAUGAUAUAUUAAGGUUUGGUUAUGUAAUACCCCGAAAAUUACUACAGUAAGAAAGUAAGAUAAUAUCCUUGAUAUAGUAAAAUAAGAAAAUAAAGUGACAAAAAGAGAAAUUUUGAGUUAUGGCAACAUUGGAAAGUAUAUUAUGACAUAUUUAUUCAAGAAAGGAUUAAAUCGCAAAACUGAGAAAAGUUUUGUUGCCCAAGAGUAAAUACUCAAAAUUUGAGGUGUCAAAGUGUAAAUAUGAAAAAUUUGAAGGACCAGUAGUGUAAAUAUUUUAAGGGUGGAAUGAUCUAGAAACUAAGAAAAAUGGAUGAAUUAGGACCAAAUUGAAAAUGUGAAGAAUUUUGAGGGAUUAAAUCACAAUUUUACCAAAUUAAGUGAUGACUCAAGGAUGAAAUUUUAAAAGAUCAUAAAGGGCAAAAUGGUCAAUUAGAAGAGAAAGAAAUCUAGAAGGCAAUGAUGAUGUUGGUGAUAUUUUAGAUUAAUUAAUUAAAUAAAUAUUAGUUUAUUAAUAUUUUAAUGAGAUAUUUUAUUAUUUUAUUAUUGUAUUUAAUAUAUAAGGAGAGAAAGAUGAAGAAUUAUCAUCAUCUUUCCCAUGCACCAACGUGAGAAGAAGAAGAAAAAGAAAGUUUUCUUUUCUUUACAAUUUGGUCUUUUCACCAAAUACUCACCAUUUUCACUUAGAAAUUAAAAGAAUUUUCAUAUCCAUCAAGAGAGAAAAAUAGCAAGGAGACUAUGUGGAGCUAGAAUAUCAAGUUAGAUUCAAGAAAUAAAAACUGGAGGAGAGAGAAAAUCAAGUUAAAUGUUGAUACUAAUAGGACAAGGUUAGAACAUCAAGAUUUCAAUAUAUUUGUAAGUUUGAUAUUAUUAAAAAAGCAUAAAAAUGAUGUUAUAGUAGAGUUUUCUUAUAUAAGGUCUUAUGUUCUUGAUAUAUUAGUGAAUGGAAAUAAGUGAAAGUGAUGACAAAUACUAUCGAGAAAGGGAAUAAGGGAGUUAUAAACUUAGUAAUUAACAUCUUGCACUAAAACAGUUUUGGACAGCAACAGUAGGUUAACUUUGAAAAAUCACCAUAAAUUAUGGAGAUCGAAUUAGAGGAUGAAAAAAAUAUAAAAUUAAAUAUUAUUGAGUCUAUUUUCUCAAAGAAGAAAGUCUAUUUUCUCAAAGAAGAAAUGGUGUAAGUAAUGGAAUUGUAAAUCAUGAGAUAUAAUAAAUUUUGUGAGACAAGGUCAGAAUGAAUUCGGGUUCCCCUGUUCUGACUUUGGAAAAUAAUUAAAAAUUGAAUAAAAAUAAUUGUUGGUUAGAAUUUAUAUGUUUAAAAUUUUUAAUGAGUAUAUUUUCAAUAGAAACAAAUGGGAACAUCAUCUGAAUCCCGUACGAGGAGAUAAAUAAUUUUUAGUGAAGAAGGGUCGAAACUGUUAGACAGCAAAACAGGGAUGACUUUAAAGAAUAAACUGUAUUUAUUGGCUAAACCAUAAAUUUUAAAAAUUUUAUGCUAAUAAUAUAUGUUAGUCUAGUUUCAUAUAAAUUUAACGAAUCUUAAUUCGGAGUUCCGUAGCUCAAGAUAUUAAUAAUUUAGUGACUGUGACUCAAGUGGACAGCUUUGAAUGAACAUAUAAAUAAAUAGUGAAAUUAUAGAUAAUGUUACAUAUAAGCAUGUUAUAUACAUUAAGGAUGUGGAAUGGAGAGGAGGAGGAAAAUAUAUGAUUAUUCAACUAGCAUGAGUUUUCAUUAAAAAUGGCUAAUUUGCAUGUUUUAGGUUUAGGGACUAAAUUGAAUAAAAGUAAAAUUUUAAGGGUAAUUUUGUAAAAAUGUCAAAAAGUGAUCAAAUUGCAUGAAAUGAAUUGUUUUAUUAUUUAAAUUAAUAAGUUGAAUGAAGUAUUAAUUUAGAUCAAGAUUGGGUGGAAAUUCGAGGAAAAUAGAAAAUUAUCGAAAUGACCCUGAAUUAUGGUAUUUCUGCAAUUUAGCCUGUAUAAUUUUAAUUAAAGUGAAUGUUAUUUGGUGAUGAAUAUUAUAUAAAUAUAUGUUUUAUUAUUGGAAUUGAAUUAUUAUUGGUAAUAUGUAUAAUUAUUAGAUGCAUUGAAAUGAUUAUCGAAAGCUCGAUUAGGUUGGAAGCUUGUCGGAGAUAUAUCACACUAUCCAUUGGUACUAUCGGUAAUUUUGGAUGAUUUGAUUCUGGUUAUAAUGGCAUGUAUAAGUUAAAUGGGCCAACGUUAGCUCAUUAAUGUUUUGAUUUUGAUUGGUUAUAAAUAUGAAUGCUUGAUGAAAUGAAAUGUAUGUAAAUUAAUUUCUAAACUCCGGUAAUACUCUAUAAUCCUAUUUUGGCGAUGAAUACGGGUUAGGGGUUGUUGACACCAUUUUUUUGAUGAAAACGGGGUCAACUUGGUUUUUUUUAAAAUGAAAAUGGGAGUCACCACCGAUCCUUUUUGAUGAGGUAUGAUCGGGUCACCUUGUGAAAAUGGUUGUUUUUAAUAAACAAUUUAAUUUUAUUAAAACAACGAAUUUGGUCCAUGAAAUUAAAAAACACGGGUUCGGGAGUCGGUUACGUACAAGGAAGGAUUAGCACCGUCGUAACGCCCAAAAAAUUGGUACCUAGUUGAUUAGUUAAUGCCUUAAUGUCGAAAAUUAAAAAUCUUUGAAAAAUUUUAAAAAUACGAUCCAUGUAUUAAAAUGUUGAAAAUUCUUGAGAAAAAGGGUACAUUUCACGUUAAUCGAGAAAAAGGCAUCAUAUCCAGUAAGUUAGGAUACAAUGUCUCAAAUUCUCGAUAUGCGAAUGAAUGCCAAAAUUUAAUUAUUUAAGUGACAUUUUAUUAUCCUGGGUUUAGAAAAAGGAUUAUGCCCAGUAAGUUAGGACACGAUCUUCUCUUAAUUUCCGAGAUCGUUUAAAAACUUAAGUUUGAAAGGAUUCGUAUGUUUGAAUUCGUCGAGAAGAUUGAAACCUUGUAAGUUAGGGCACGAUCCUCUCGAUUUUCAUAAUACAAAAUUUUGUUUAUUUUAAAGCCACGUUAAAUAAAUAAAAUUAAUUUAAUAUAAAAUAGUAGGAAUAAACACAAUAUUAUCAUAUAACAAAGUGAUAAUAUAAACACAACUAAUAUUAGCAACAGACAAAAAGAGAAAUAAAAUACAUAAACAAAUCAAGUAUAUAUGGAAUUGAUGAAUAAAUAUAUAAACAAAAACUAAACAUUUCCUAAAAAUAGUAACGAACACAUAAAUGAAUAACUAAAUAUCAUAUAGAACCACAAUGACAAUACGAACAAUAAGAGAUAAAGCAUUUAUGUGUAUAUACUAGUAUACUAUAAAGUAUAAGAAUGCUUAAGUUUAUAUACAUGUAUAAAACAAAUAUACAUAUCUAUAUAUAUAUGAAUUAUAAAAUGUAAAAAAGACAUGAGUAUGUAUAUAUCCAAAAAUAUGUAGGUAUAUAAAUUAUGUGAAAAUAAGAAAACAUAUAAAUAUGUAUAUAUAUUCAUAAAAAAUAAAAUAUGUGUAUACGCAUAUAAAGUAUAAAUCAUAUAUAUCUAAGUAGAUAUAUAUAUAUAUAUAUAUAUAUAUAUAUAUAUAUAUAUAUAAGUAAACUUGGAAAAUUAUAUGAGUACACCUGUUAUAAAAAAUAUGAAUGUAUAUAUAUAAUUAUAAAAUGUAUAAAAAUGUAAGUGUGUGUGUAUAAGUAUGCAUAUAUAUAACAUAAUCCAAAAACAGUAUAAAUGGAUAAAUAAUAAGGCAAAUAAGAAAAAUAAAAGCAAUAAUAAUAAUAAUGAUGAUAAUAAAACUAAUUAAUUUAAAAAAAAUAAAAAAACGGGACUAAAUUAAAAACAAAGCAAAAUCCCAGGGGAGAAAAGUUAAAAAAAGAAAAAAAACUAAAACAGGGACCAGAUUGGACGGAAGCCCAAAAGCGGAAGGACUGAAAGGGUAAAUAGACCCUCAGUCCAAAACAGGCGGAUCCUUGGGGUCCAUCGGGUCGACGCGCGGGUCGAGCUCAAUACGGCGCCAUUUUGGAGCCACUGAUCAGACUCCAAACGGCGUCGUUUCAUACAUCACAUAAGGGGCAAAAAGAACCCUAAUCUGAUAGCCUCCAUUUCAUUUUUUAAACGAAAAGAAAAAAAGAAAAAUAAAGGAAACAUAAAAAGAAAACAGAGAGCUCGAAUGCUCUCCUCUCUGCGCCUCUCUCGACCCUUAAGCUCAGGCCACCAUCUCCGCCUCCAUGGUCAGUGGCCGGGGCUGUGCGAGAACGGCCCCUAGGCCUCCCCCUUUUUGCGGCGUCCCCGAAGGCUAAGCCUUCUCAACCGCGAGUCCAAAAGGAAAAGGGAUGAAACGCCCCUUUUUGCUCGACUCCGAUGACGGCAAAGGUGGGGUUCCGACACCAGCCCGUCGAAGCGGUAAGGUAUUUACUCCUUUCCCUUUCAGUUUCGUUUUCUUUGUUGAAAGAUUGUAGAAAAAUAAACAAUAAAUAAAAGAGUAAAGUAAAUAAGAACAGAAGAACAGAGAAGAAUAAACUGGAGUCAACCUUUUUUUAUCUGCUUUUUCUUUUUUUGAAUUCAAAACGCUGUAAAAAAACUGUACAGAGAUAUUGUUUGGCUUUUAUAGCCAAUUUACAUUGUAUUUUGAUUGUAUUUUGUUGUCUUGCACUAUCUGUUGCGUGCUCCUGCUUUCUUUCCUAUCAUUUUUGCAGGUGUUGAUGGAGCUAGUAGCGGUAGGUGGCGAUGAGACAAAGCGAACGAUGAUGGUAGAGGGAUGGGCGCGGCGCUAGGCUUGGCUAGGGUUUCCGUUUUCUGAAACCCUAGUCUGACUGGGUUCUGGGCCUGUUGGGCUUAUUAGGCUGUUUGGGCUCUGCUAAUUGGGCCCGGGAAAUAAUUGGGCUGUACAGGGGUGUUACAGGUUAAGUGGUUAUAUGGAUGAAGCCGUAAGAGGUAAAGAGAGAUAGAUAACUUGAGGACUCUAGAUUUCAAUUCUAAAAUCAGAUUUAGAUUUGAACGGUAAAAUCAAAAGUUACGGGAAAUCCAAAUGUUAAAGCACUAAAUGUUCAAGGUUGAGAUAUAUAUAUAUAUAUAUUGUUAAAUUUGAAUGUAAUCUAUGUAUGAUUAUAUGAAUCUAACAUUGUUUCCAUACACUUUAUUUUUUCCUUAGUGACCUCUUCAGCCAAUUCAACAUUUUGUUCAACAGAAACCAAAGUAGGCACAAUCGUCUAAACACCCACUCCAACACUAAUGUCUUCACUUUUAUACAACUUCUCAAAAUAACUACAAACCAAGUGUUGUAUCUCACUUUCAUCCUCCACACAUACCCCUAUAUCAUCUUUCAGUCCCAACACUUUGUUGGCUUGUCUCCUACAUAAAGUUUGUCAAUGGAAAAUUCUUUUUGUAUUACUAUCACCUUCUUGGAACCAUUUAACUCUUAAACAUUGAUGACAAAACUUCUUCUCAUAACUCCAUAUUUUACCAAUUUCCUCACUUAAUUUAGUAACAACCUUCAAAUCCUCAAAUUUAUAACCUUGGAAGCUUUAAACAAUGGCUUCUUAUGUUUCUUGCUCUUGUUUUCGGUGGAAAGGAGAAAAGAUGAACAAUGUUCAUCUUAUUUUACUUUUAACUUAUUAUUAUUAUUACUUACUUACUUUAAUUUUAAUUAAAUCUUUAAUAUAAAAUAUAAACAACUAUACUUACCAUCCACUAUAUAGCUAAAUUGGUGAAUUUUUCCUUUUAGGCAUUUGAUUAAUUUCUAUUUAGUCCUUUAACACUUAAAAGUUCUAGCGAUUAACUUUUACUAUUUUUAUGAUUUAGUCUUUGUACAUUAAUUAGCUAUUCGUUCAAUAAAAUUAUUAGACUGAAAAUCAAUAUAACACUAUAAUAGACUCGUAAAUAUUAUUAUCGACUUAAUCAUUGAAAAAUAGGGUUCCGAGACCACCGUUGCCAGCACCACUAAAAAGCAGGUUGUUACAUCUCACAUCCACUAGGCCAAACAUCAUGUACACUGUAAGUGUUUUGUCUAGAUUUCUCCAUUGUACAAGUAAAAUUCAUAUGCUUGUUGCAAAGAGGGUAUUAAGAUAUUUGAAGGGGAUACUUGCAUAUGGAAUCAAUUUUAGCAAAUUUGAAAAGUUCAAGCUGCAAGGCUAUUCUGAUAGUGAUUGGGCUAGAUCACUAGAUGAUAUGAGAAGCACUUCAGUCUAUUGAUUCAAAUUUGGGUUAGGUUGCUUCUCUUGGUGUUCAAGAAAGCAAGAGAUGGUGGCUCAAUCAACUAUAGAUGCUGAAUUCAUUGUAGCUACAAUUGUUGUGAACCAAGCCUUAUGGCUGAAGAAGCUAAUGAAUGACCUGCAUUUGAAGUAAGAGGGAAGUAUAGAGGUGUUUGUGGGUAAUCAAGCUACUCUAGCUAUUUCACUAAAUCUUGUAUUUCAUGGAAGAAAAAAGCAUUUUAAAGUCAAGUAUUAUAUGCUGAGGGAAGUAUAGAAAAUAGGUGAAGUGAAGCUAGUUUAUUACAGAUCAGAGGACUAGAUGGCAGAUAUUUUUAUAAGUCCUUCUAUGUUAGUCGAUUUGAUGUUCUUAGGAAAAAACUUGGUGCCUACAACACUUGAGUCAGGAGGAGAAUGUUAUUGUCUCAAAGGUUGCAAAGUUUUUUUUUUCAUUAAGAUGAUUAAGUCAUAAGGAGAUUGUUAGCUUGUUAGUAGGAGUUGUUAGCUUGUUAGUAAGAGUAGGAAGCUAGGAGUUGUUAGCUUGUUAGUAAGAGUAAGAAGCUAAGUUUGUUAGCUUGAGUCAUGUAUAUAAGCAUUGCUUGGUUAAUGAAUUUAUCGUCCUUCCCCAUUAUUGAUUUCUGUGCUUCAAUUAGUUCUCUGCUAAAUUAUCAUUAUAUAUCCCCUACCCUUUUUACCCCUCUGUCUACUACCAAUCCUUCUACUACCUUAACUUUUCCUUCUAACUCUUUUAUCCUUACCACCAAAAUCAUCCUCAUGUUGAUGCUUUUCUAGAUUUCUUCUAACUUUCUUACCCUUCCCCUUAUCAACAAAAAUAUCUUCUUCAUAUCAUUUCCUCUUCUAUUUUAAAUCUCCAAUACCACUAGUAAUAGAAAUAAUCCUUUCACUUGGACAUAAAUUUACCAUUUCAUUACCAUAUAACCCCACCUCAUCUUCUAAAAUCUCAACGAAGUAAGGUAAAAACUUUUUUUAUUAACUUAACUUGCACUUACACCACUCAUCCCAACCUCAAAACUACUUUGCCCCUUAUGACCUUCCAUUGUAGUCUCCCCCAGAUCUUUACCAUUGUUAUUAAUUGCCUUACCUUCCAACAUUAGUCCAUCACAACUUUCAUUAAUACAUUUUCUAUCAUACUAGAAUUAUACUAACAAAAAAAAAUCUUCCUUUAUUCACAUACUCAGAACUUCACCCCCUCCUCAGACCCCACCCAUAGUAAAAAUUCAUUAAUUGCCUUCCAAUUCACCCUUACCCUCCUAGAGGUAUCAAGUUUACCACGCUUUCUCCUUCACUCCCUCAUACACCACAUCCACUAAGCUUUCUCUUUUAACACCCACUGACACAUUUCUUUCUCUCUCCCCCUAGACCCAUCACCCUCUUGCACACCAUCUUUAGGCAAGAACUAAAUAUUCUCAUUAAAAACUUCCUUACCCUCCAUUUGUAUCCCAUAGUGGAGUUACCUUUAGAAAAGACCAUAUUUAUAUUAUCAAACCCUUUCCUAAAUAAUUUUCUAUCCUUAGUACAUACAUUAUCCCCAUGCUUCAACCUACCACUACUAAAACAAAAGUUAGAUAACUUCUCAUAUUUUACAAUCACCCACACUUUCUCUUUAUCCUUUUUAUGAAGCCAAAAGCCCUCUGUAAAUGGUUCCUUCCAAUCCAUUUCAACCCUAAUUUUAAGAAAGCAUCUAUUCAUCCCCCUUAUUUAUUGGAUCUUCAACAUUAACAACCUUACCCAACAUAUUUCUUAUUUUCUCAACAUUAUAUUUUGAUAGUAACCCCACAAGUAAAUGAUGCACUUGAAUCCAGAAAGAGACCUUUGAAAAAUUAAUAUCCUUGAUCGCAACUUCUAGCGACCAACAUCUCAGAACCAUACAACAUCCCAUAAUCAACCAUAGAUAAUUCCUAAUUGUUGCCAUCAAAGGCUCUUUUUCCCUAAAUUGAAUCCCAUGCAAAUUUUAUCCAACAUAGUUAACCGAAGACACCUUCUUAAUAGACCACAUACCCCUCAAAAUAGCUAAAACCCCUAUUCGAUUUUGAUUUUUUAUCAUAUAUAAUCUUCCCAAUUAUCAUCAAAUUUGAAACCCCAAAGCCUCAUCCCUAUCAAUCUCCAAUUCAAUCUCUAACUCCUGCAUGACAUAAUCAACCUACUCAAGAAUAUUGAGAAGGUUUAGGAACAAUUUCCUGAAAUAUGAAUUUGAUAAAAUGUCAAAAUCAGACCACGAAUAAUCUUAAAAAUCUGGAUCCAACUUAACAACAAAAACCAAGAAUAAUCAACACACUAUGCAAGAAUAAUCAACACACUAUACAUACAAAAUUAGAAAUAAUCAGAAACAAAAAAUAAGGAAUCAAGAUUACUUAUAAAAACACCUAAAAAUCUAAGAGAGAAAUCAAGAAAGACAAAAAAAAAAAAAACUAAGACGACUUUGGGAGACUCGUAAAAAGGUGAGAGAAAAAUAAGAGAAGCAUAUGGACAUGAAUGUGUCUUUUAAUUAAUCGGUUCUUCAAUAACUGAUUUAGGGUGUUACAUUGUUACUGUGCAAACCAUCAUAACCUUGUAAUUAAUUUUCAACCAACAUCAUCUUUGAAUUUUUUUUUUAAAUCAAUAUAUUGUUAUAAGUUUCCCGAAACUAGUUAUUAGUUGACCACUGAAAAAUUUAAAUGUUGCAAAGCCAUUCUCUUAGUGCCAUAUAUGCCUAUUUGAAAUGAAAAUUAUAAGAUCUUAUCCAAAAACAUAAAAAUUACAGGAUACAAAUACUAAUUUCUUUAUCAAUAUUUAAUGUUGUCUAAUAUUGCAUGACAACAAACAUAGGACAUGGCAGUAAAAGUACUAUGAAGGUACUUUUACUAGGAGUUAGAUUUCAUUUUGCCCCAUCUACUCUAAAAAUGGGCAAAUUAGUCAUUGUAUAUUAGUUCAAAGAGCAAAUUGCUCCUUUUUAUUGAAAAUUUUAUCCAUUUGUACUGUUAAAAACUAGCAUAGCUGAUGGUAGGGGUGAAUGUUCGAUUGAAUUGAGUUGAAUCGAGUGAAAAUAUUUUGAGUUAGUUGAGUUGACGAACCUUAUUUUAUCAUCCUAACUUUAUUUGAAAUUUGUUUUCAAGUUGAGUGAAAUUGUUCGAGUUAAAUUAAAAAUAAAAAAUUAAACAUGUCAGAUUAAAAUCUUGUUACAAUAUAACUAACUUCAUGUUAGAUUGCAUAAAUUUGAAACCAUAUAUAUUUGAAAAAUCUUUCAAAGCAAAAUAAGAGAAAAAUAAGAUACUUUAGUAUGAUAAACUUGAAUUGGUAAUUUACAUGUUUAGGUCCUCAAAAUUAUUAUUUUUAACUUCUUGUAUAUAUUCUUUGCAAUUUUUUUUUUAAAAAUUAUGAUAAUUUUAAAAUUUUUUUAUAAAUAUUUUGAAUUUUUGAAAAUUAUUUUGAUUUUUUUGUUGAAAGAGAUCAAUUUGUUCAUUUUUCAAAAUUGAUGGGGACCAAAGGGGUAUUUUCACCAAUUUGUUAUUUGAGUUACUUGAAUUAAUUAAGGUAUUCAAAUUGUAAAAUUCAACUUGCCUCAAACUCGAAAAAUCAAAUUACUUCUUUGAGUUUACUCGAAAAAAACGAAUAACUCGAUUUGAUUAAUUCAAAUUUAAAAAAAAUUUGACUUUUUUAGUUUAACCGAGUUUUGCUUAGCACUAGUUAAUAGAAUAAGCAAAGAAUGAUACAUGGUGUGUAACAUCCCUAAAAUUUCAAGAGUUUGGAACAGUGAAAUAAAUGAUAAUUCAGUUAUAAUAUGAGAGAGUCAGAAAUUAGAAAUUGACAGUGUUACAAGAUAGUGAAGACAAAUACAAAAGAUUAUCGAAAAGAUUUGUAUUAUGAGAGAAAUAAAUUCGGGGUAUUGACUAAAUUAUAAGAGAGUGAAAAGUGUUGGGGCCAAACUAAGAAAAUCAAGAGAUGAAAAUGAUUAAAUUGAAUUAAGGAAAGAGGAAGAGGGACUAGAGGUGAAAAUAUACAAAAAAAGGCAUGAAUCAUAUAUGGAAUUAUAGGAAAAAUUCAAAGGCAAAAUGGUAAAUAUUUAAUGAGAUAAUUAUGGAGACAUAAUGGUUAAGGACGAAUAUGUGUAAAAGUAUAAUUGGUGGGGCAAAAUGGUAAAUAAUUAAUUAAUAGAUUUUUUUAUAGAUAUUUACAUGGAAAUGUCUAGAAAAAUGUAGAAAAAGGUAGGACAAGAUGAUAAAAAGGCAUCAUCUCCAUUUUGUCUCUCACUUCAUUUCCAUAGCUAUCAUCGUCAACUUUUGCUUUUCUUUCAAAUCAGUCAUUUUCACUAUUUCUAAGCCAAUUAAAGUAAAAUCCUCCUAUUUUCUUCCUGAUUAGUGACUACCAAAAUUUCAUGUGAAGACCAACUAUAGUUGUUUUGGAGGAGUGAUAAAGUAGAGAUUAGUGUUGAGUACAAGAAAUUGAGGUAAGAAAUGAUAAAUUUUCAUGAAAUACAUGCUAGUUUUACUUGAAUAACAUAGAUUAUGAUAUGUGGGUAUGAUUUUAAUGUGCAAAUAUUGUAUGUUUUGAUAUGGAAAAUGAAGAAAAAGUGAAGAAAUGUGGGAAAUAAGUGGAGAAUUAAAGGAAGUGAGGAGCCAAAGGAAGAAGAAGAAGAAGAAGAAGAAGAAGAAGAAGAAGAAAGCUUGAUACCAAACUUUGAGUUGUAAGUACAACUAAAGUUUCAUUUAUUUUAAACAUGUUAAUUGUUAAGGUCUAUUAAGUGAAUAAAAGUCUUGUUAUGAUAUUUAAUUAUAUACUUACUUGAAGAGUAAGACAUGAUAAGGGUUAAAUAUACGUAAAUAAUGAAUUCAUUUUAUUUACUAAGUAAUAUGUAAAAGAGAAAAUGAAAGAAAAGUAAGUAAAAGGACUAAAUUGUAAAAAGAUGAUAAAGUUGAUGGAAUUGUAAUCAACAUAAGUAAAUGAGUAUACGAAGUAAAAUAUGAGAAUGAUUGAUGUGUGGAAUGAUAUAGUAAUAUUGUGAGUAUAUUUGAUGAAGUAUGAAAAAGAAAGGACUAAAUUGUAAGAUAUGUAAAAGUGACAUGUGAUAAAUUUGAUAAGAAUCAACAGGAAAUUAUGGAAAUUUUAUUAAAUUAUGAUAUAUGUUAUGUGUAUUAAAAAGAAUGAAAGUUCGGAAUAUUGUGUUACUGUUACAAUGACUAAUGUAACACCCAAUUAUUACCCGGUCCAGCAAAAAAACAGACAAAAUAAUAAUAUAAAAACAGUCCAUAGUGUCCAAAUACAAACGGGCUACAAGGCCCAAACCAAAAUAAAGUGGUGGCCCAAAUUACAAUGGCCCAAAAACGGAUAAAACCCUAGGGUUUCUAAUCUUCAACAGCGCCGCAGUCAAGCCGAGCCUCGCCUACGGAUCUCCGCACCUUCGCCUGCAAGAAAUAAGCACAAAAGGAAACAAAAAUCAAAUAUCAGAUCAAGAAGAUACUGAAUGUAAUUUGUUUCCCUAUUUUUAUUAUUAUCAUGACUAUAAAAACCCAUUUGUAAUACGGGAUGAGUGAUCAGAUUUUUGAAAAGAGAAAUAAAAAACUACUACUUUCGCAAUAUAGAGAGCAAAAAUCGAAUCAAAGGUUGUUAUUUAUAGUUUUUAUUUAUUUUUUAUUGUUAUUUUUUUACCAUUAUAUACAUACGAAUAAAAUAAACAAAAGAGAAGAAAUCACCAGUGUUUUGAGCCCUAGAUCGUCGUGGACGGCUACGGGUGUCGUCUCCGAUGAAAGACGACCGGAAGCCGAAAGGUUUCUCUACUUUUUGGGGCAAUUCCGCUGAUAUUUUGUGAGAUUUGAGCCCGGAUUUAGGCUCAGGGGGUCAAGAAGGUUAAAAGGGUAUUUUUUACUUUUUUUCGGCCACCGCGGAAGGUGGUGCUGGCGCCGGAGAUAGGCGGCCGGUGUGGUGGCCGGCAGAGGGCCGGUGACCGAGCGAUGGCCGGAGGAUGGACUGAGGAGAGAGUGUUUCUUUAAGUUUUUUUGUUUUUAAAAAAAAAGGGUUUUCAAAUGAUUUUUUUUGAAAGAUUAUGAGUAUUUAUAGGGUACCAAAACGGCGUCGUUUUGGAGAGCCCUCAGACGCCCAAAACGGCGUCGUUUUGGGUGAGCCGACCCGACCCGGUCGAGGAUCCGCGUGUUUUUGUGCGGAGGGGUAAAUUGCGCUUUUAGCCCCUCCGCCUUUUAACAUAUUUCUAUUUUUUUAUUUUUUUAAAUUCGGCCUUUAAUUUAUUUUAAAUUCCAGUUUAAUCCUUUUGAACGACGCCGUUUUAGAGGAGAAGGGAAAAUUUCCCUUCCAGCCCCUCUAUGUAAUUCGCGCAUUCAAUUUAGUCCUCCAGACUUUAUUUAUUUGCAGAUUUACCCCCGAAUUUUUACUUGCGAUUCAAUUUAGUCCUUUUUUUCAUAUUUCUCUUAAAAUCAAUAUUUUAAUAAUAAAUAAUUAUUAUUUUAUAUAUAUAGGUUUUUUUACGUAUGUAUUUAUACCUUUAAAAAACCAAUAUUUUUCGUAUAUUUUAUAUUCACAUGUUUAAUUUAUUUAAUUAAUUUUGAUAUUAUUUUAAUUGUUUUAAACUUAUAUAUUUUUUUAUGUGUACAUGUAUAUUUUUUUAUCAUUUGUUUAUUAAUUUAUGCUGGCAUAUUUUUAUUAUUAUCUUGCCCAUUUAUUUGAUGUUUUGCAUGUCAUUAUUUUAUUUAUUUAUUUGCUUCUUCAUAUUAUUCCUAUGAAAUUGUUGUAUUUAUUAUUGAUAUUUAUUUAAAGGAGCAUUUAUUCACAUAUUCAACAUAACAUUAUACUAGCCUUUUAUUUAAUUGUAAAACGAAAUUUUCAAAAUUGAGAUAUUGUUUGUAUUUAGGAUUUUCAAGGAAAUUGAGCCCUAACGUAUUGGGUUCCGAUUUUCUUUGUUAAAUCUAACAAUCGAGUAUUUCUCUUUAAUAAAAAAUAAAGAACUCAUUAUUGGGAAUUCAACACGUUGUGUCCUAACGUAUUGGAUGUGACGCAUUGAUUUCUCGAAACGAAGAUUUUUCUAAAAAUAAUAAAGGAAAUAUUCUGAGUUUGGGAUUUUAAAGAAAUCGUGCCCUAACGUAUUGGGUGUGAUUUCUUAAAUCUUGGAUAAGUGGAUGUUCUUUUAAAGUUUUAUCGCACUAUUAUUUUGGCCCAAUUCAUUUUGGAGGAAAUUAGAAUGUUGUGCCCUUUCGCAUUGGGUGUGACAUUUUUGCUUCUCUAAAUGGAGAAAGGUCUUAAUACGUAAUGUUUUAAGUUUUUUUUAGAUUAUAUUUUAAAAUUUUCGACCUUAAGACACUAAUUAAUCAACUUUGUACCAACGUUUGGGCGUUACAAGGGUGCUAAUCCUUCCUCGUACGUAACUGACUCCCGAACCUUUUUUUUUCUGAAACUCGUAGACCAAAAUCAUUUUAGGUGAUCCAAUCACACCUCAAUAAAAGAUUGGUGGUGACUCCUAAUUUUCAUUUUUUAAAGUCGACAACCUAAAAUUUUUUGUUUUCAAAAAAUGGUUUCAACAGCUUGGCGACUCCAUUGGGGAAUUUUUUUUUAAAAAUAAGAGAGUCGAGCCACAAAGUUGAUUAAUUUUUGUCUUAUGGUCGAGAAAAUAUUAAAAAAAACUCAUGACAUCCUUUUGCAUUCAUUAUCUUCUUGUUUAAAUAUUGUUUGCAUUCUACAUUUCAUGAGUUGAACGUUUUACCCUUUUAAGUGGGAGUGAGAAGCUAUGCCUUCGUGAGGUUUUCACCUCCGUAUAGGAUAGUGGAUCGCUUUCGGGAUACAUCGGUACCUAUGCCUUCGUGAGAUUUUCAUCUCCGUAUAGUCAUAGGGAAAAUGUGUCCCCCUGAACCUAACUUGAUCUAUAUGAGCCUAUAAUGGGUGAGGAUCAAGGAAUCUGCUGGUUUGGGUACCUUUACUUUAGAGCCAAACUGCAUAUAAUGAGCCUUAGAAGCUUGCCUUAGGUAGAACUACACUAAACCCUAAUAGAUGCCCUAAUAGAUGUUUUACUCUUCCUUGAUUAUAUGCUUGUAUUGGAUAAUGACUCUUGUGCUUUAUUUUGUUUGCAUGACAUGACAUUUCAUUUCAUCAUAAAAGGCGUCAGUUCAGAUUCGGUUGCUAGAUAGAAAGCUUAACAUGGAAAAAGGGUUUCUUGAUAAAGUGGAGGACAAUGCGGCUGUCCGAGCUUGGUCUGAAACAACGCAGCAAGAAACGGGUGAUAGCCUGGCCGAUGGGUAUGUAUCGGAAUUAUGAGAUUUUACUCGCAUCAGUAUGGCUCAAAAUAAUUUGUAGGAGUUGAAAGAAAUUUGGGAUCAUUGGAAUAAUGAGGUUAGGCAGUCAUUUUGCGACAAUUAUGGGGACUUGCCUUAUUUGCUUGAUGUGAAGGUGGACAAACAUUUGUUUCGAGCCCUCACCCAGUUUUGGAAUCCUGCUUACAGUUGCUUCACAUUUGGGAAUAUCGAUUUGGUACCUACGAUAGAGGAGUAUGUGGCUUUACUCCGAUGUUCAAAGUUUCAAGUGGAUAGGGUCUACUCGAGAGUGGUGAAUGUGCCAACCUUUUCAAGGAAGCUGAUAGGAAUAACAGGGAUGAGUGAGCAGUGGGUCGCUGCACGAGUUAAGCAAAAGGGGGACAGCAAGUGCAUUCCUUGGAGGAGCUUGAAGGAUGCAAUUCUCAUACACCCAGACAUAAGAAAGAGGUUAGAUAUCUUUGCCUUAAGUAUAUACGGCUUGGUUAUCUUCCCUAAAGCCUUGGGGCAUGUGGACGAAGCAGUCACCGAUUUAUUUGAUCGGCUUGAUAAGAGGGUUACACUGAUUCCGGCAAUUUUGGCAGAAACCUUCAGGUCAUUGAGUGCAUGCCGAAAGACGGGUGAGGGUAGAUUUAUCGGAUGUGCACAGCUUCUACUCGCAUGGUUUCACAGUCACUUUUGGAAGGUGGAUAAAGUUUCGUAUCGGGUUUUCUCUGAAAAUUAUUAACCACUAAAGGAGAUAGUCGUUACGCCGAGGAGAGAUGACAUUUCAGAGGAAAAAUGGAUGGUCAUUCUUCAAAAUCUUCAAGAGAAAGAUGUUGAGUAGAGAGCUCCUUGGUUACUACUAGAUGAGAUCCUAUAUAGGUAUGGAAAUUUUGAUUGGGUAGCUUUAUUGGGUAUUUGGGGCGCUGUCGGAUAUGCCCCAUUAUUGGUGCUAAGGCAAUACAGGUCAAGAUAGUUUAUACCUGCGACUCAAGGGAUAGUUGAUUGUGAAUUUUCAUACAAAGAUGAUGGUUAUAGAAAAAAGAUUCAAGAAAUGUCCAAUGCGUGGAAACAUACUCGCCGAAUGAAGAGGUUAGCUGUGGGGCCAAUGACAACUCCUGAGUAUUAUGGAUGGUGGGCUAGGAGGAUUAAUGAUAACACACCCAAGAUAAAUUAUGGGGACGGCUAGUCAAUAGAAAAGCAUUUGCGAGUUAUCCCUUCGGAAUUGGAAAUUGUAAGACAAGAUUUUGAGAGGAAGAGCGCGGAUUUGGAGAAAAGGAUAGAGCAAAUGGAGGCGGAAAAAAUGAACUUGAGAUUGGACAUAGACGUUCAGAAGCUUGAGAAUGAGAGGUUGAAGAAAGAGAAAAACAAGGCUGAAGAGAAACUGGGCAGUUUAAAGACGGAUUAUAAAAAGUUGUGUUUGUCAAUAAGAACUGCUGGGCUGGGAAAGAUGUCAGCACAGUGGCGAGCAGAAGUCCAAGAAGAAAAGGACAAGGCCGAUAGAUGGGAACAGAGAUUUCAAGAGAUGCAAAGGCGAAAUGAGGCUUUAGAAAAGAGUUUGUCAGAAAGCCAGAAGGAAAAGGGCGAGUUAAAGGAUAGGGUGAUUGUGUUGGAAAGAUCUCUUCGUCAGUAUCGAAGCUGAAACUCUACUAUAGAGUUGAAAGCAAGCUUGAGCAAGAUUGACAAAAUGAAGAAAAGAAUCGAAGAGCUAGAAACGGUGUUGCAAAAUUGUGAAGUUCAGAUCAAGCACUUGAAAGCAAACGAAAGUCGUAAUAAUGAACAGCUUCACCACUUUCAGAGUCAAGUUAGAAGCAGAGAUCAUUUUAUCGAGGAAGCUGUGGUCCAGAUUCGAGAAGUAGCUGAUCAUAUAUAGACUUUAGCAGUACAGGCUGACACAUUGAGUGUGAAGUAUGAAUUAGAAUCGGAUCGGGGGCAAGAAUUAGCUUCGUUACUUAAGAAGAUUAGAGUUUUAGGUACUAGGGCAAAGUCUUACUUGUAAUUCGCUUUAUGUAAAGAAAUUUGCUUUCUAGUAAGGUUUUCUUAUAUGGAAUUGAAUCAAAAUUGACAUAUUUUCUUGCAUUCAUGCAUUGCAUCACUUCAUAUGCAUUUAAAAAAACAUUAAAAGAUUCUAAUGAAUUUACAUCAUUCCUCAGUUAAUCUGGAAACCAACCUACCUACCCAGCACCACUAUGGUACUCGAUCGAAAACUAGAGAUAUGGACCAAAGGCUAGAAUAGUUCCAGAAGGAAAUGCAAGAGCAAAUGAAUGGGCAACUAGAGAAGGUUCAACAGAAGAUGAUGGAUAAAAUAAUGGAAUCUCAGGGGAGUAUGAUGGCUAAGUUGACUCAGUUAUUGGCUGGAGGAGUUGACAAAGGGAAGGGCUUGGUGCUCAACAUUGAAGAAGGAGACAACGAGGGACCUGUGUAUUCCUCGAGACUUACUUCUCAACAAGCGAGGAUAUAUCCGUGCAAAUCUUCCGUCACUAUCAAGCCUCAAGACGAUACUGAAACACCAAUAAACUUCCAAGCUAGAGACAAUCUUGCUAAUCCUGUUAUCCCAGACUUCGACGAGACAAUCGAGAAAAUGAAUAAUGAAUUGCCAAAACAGCUUGAGGAAAAGUAUAAAUGGCUGGAGGAAAAACUUAGAGCGAUAGAAGGUACUGAGAGCUACCAUGAAAUUGAUGCUAGAGAAUUGAGCUUGGUUCCAGGUCUGGUACUUCCUCACAAGUUCAAAAUGCCAGAGUUCGAGAAAUACAAUGGGACUAGUAGCCCCGAAACCCAUAUUACUAUGUUCUACAGGAGGAUGACUGGAUAUGUUAAUAAUGACCAGUUGCUGACACAUUGCUUCCAGGAUAGCCUCGCAGGGGCUGCAUCCAAAUGGUACAAUCAACUGAGCCGUACCCAUAUUAAUUCAUGGAGAGAUCUAGCACAGGCAUUCUUAAAACAGUACAACCAUGUGACUGACAUGGUACCUGAUAGAAUUACUCUGCAGAACAUGGAGAAGAAGCCUGGUGAAAGUUUCAGGCAGUACGCACAGAGAUGGAGGGAGGUUGCUGUCCAAGUUCAGCCAUCUCUUCUAGAAAGAGAGAUGACGAUGCUUUUCGUUAAUACAUUGAAGGCCCCAUUUAUUACGCAUCUGUUAGGGAGUGCUUCUAAAAGCUUUUCUGACAUAAUUAUGAAUGGGGAAAUGAUAGAAAAUGCCAUCAAAAGUGGGAAAAUAGAUGCUGGGGAAAGUAGCAGAAGGUCAGCUUCGAAGAAAAAGGAGAACGAGGUUAACAACACAAGUUCAUAUUCAAAAAUGAUUACAGUCAAUCAACCGGGAAAGAUGGCUGUUAACCAGUAGGGAUCAUCAAAGCAGAGAUCUGACACAAGACAAAACACAGAGAAGCUUCAAUUUACGCCAAUCCCAAUGUCAUAUAGGGAACUAUAUCAGAAUCUAUUCAAUGCACACGUGGUUGCCCCUCACCACUUGAAACCUCUGCAACCUCCAUACCCUAAGUGGUACGAUGCGAACGCACAGUGCGAUUAUCACGCGGGAAUUGUGGGGCACUCUAUAGAACAUUGUACGACGUUCAAGAAGUUGGUAGAAAGGCUUAUAAGCAUGGGCAUGGUUAAAUUGGAUGAUUCGCUUAGUACAGAGAAUCCGUUACCUAAUCAUAAUGAUAAUGGAGUGAACAUGAUAGGUGGGAGCAUGGGUAGAAAGAUCAAGGAGGACAUAUCAGAGGUGAAAAUUCCUUUGAGGUGGGUCUGGAAAAAUAUGGUAAGAAGGGGAUUGAUUGUCUCAAGUUCAGAGAGAAGCUUCGAAAGAGUGGAAAAUUACUAUGAGUUCCGUCACGAGGAGGGACAUAAAAUCCAGGAAUGCGCAGAAUUCAGAGCCUUGGUUCAAGACCUGAUGGAUAACAAGGAGAUGGAAUUUUAUGAAGAAGUUAAGGAGGAUGGGAGCAUUUGCACAUCAGAGUCUUCGAAGGUUCCAAGAGUAGUGCAGCCUGUGGUCAUUAUUUCGCGACCCAAGAAGGAUGAGGUAAGAACAUCAGCAAUGCCAAGAAUCAUAAUAAAGAAACCUGCAACCUUUCCUUACCAAGACAGUAAAAAUGUCCCAUGGAGCUACGAGUGCAAUACAACUAUCCCAGGAAAAGAGACUGCAAAGAGCCAGUGUGUGAGUGCCAAUCCAGAGUCUAUGAAAGAGGCUAUAAUAGAGGAGCAAAAAGGGAAAGCAGUUGAGUCAGUGAAGGAGGAAGAAGCUGUGGAAUUCUUCAACUUUUUAAAGCAUAGUAAGUAUAAUGUCGUUGAGCAGUUGCAUAAACAACCGGCCCACAUAUUUGUACUGUCCUUACUCUUGAAUUCAGAAAUACAUCGAAAUACGUUGAUGAAGAUGCUAAAUGAGACCUAUGUGUCCAAGGAUAUUUCUCUCAAUAAGCUAGAUCGAUUGGUCAAUAAUAUCAGUGCUGAUAAUUUCAUAUUUUUUAAUGAUGAUGAAAUACCUUCUGGGGGCAUGGGAUCUACCAAAGCUUUACAUAUCACUGCACGAUGCAAGAGGCGUAUUUUGCCAGGAGUACUGAUUGACAAUGGAUCAGCUUUGAACAUAUUGCCGUUAUUCACACUUAACAGGUUACCCAUAGACAGUUCACACAUGAAAACGUGUCAAAAUGUAGUGAGGGCAUUUGACGGUACAGAAAGGAAGGUCAUGGGAAGAAUUGAGGUACCCUUACUAAUCGGUCCAAUAGUUUAUGAGGUAGAUUUUAUUGUGAUGAACAUCAAACCUUCCUAUAACUGCUUAUUAGGAAGACUAUGGAUACAUUCGGCAGGGGCAGUACCGUCAUCAUUACAUCAGAUGUUGAAGUUAGUGUCAGAUGGUCGGCUAGUGACAAUAAAAGCCGAAGAGGAUAUAAUAGCAGCUGUAUCCAAUGAGAUGCCGUACGAUGAGACCAAUGACGAGUCAGUUGAAUGCUCAUUUCGAUCUUUGGAGUUUGUAAAUGCGGCAUUUGUUCCUGAAGGGAGCAAAAUUUUAGCUCCAAAAUUAUCCAAAACCACAGAUAUGGGUUUACAAUUGUUGGUAGGAAAAUGAGCUUUACCUAGAAAAGGGCUGGGGAGAUAUCUUCAAGGGAGGACUGAGGUUCCAAUGCUGAAAGAAAAGCGAGAUCAUUUUGGCUUAGGAUACAAGCCGGAUAGAAACAGAUAAAGAAGGAGAUAGAAAAAAGACAGAAAAAAGAAGGGCGCGUCUGAAUGGGAAUGAAGCUAAGUGGGAGCCAAUGAUAAUUCCCCACAUAUCCAAAACUUUCAUAUCUGGAGGAGUUAUUCAUCAAGAGAGUAGGAAACCGGUUGAGGAAAACAUCGAUGAGACGUUGGGAAAUAUGCACAUUAAUGCCAUUUAUGAGCAUGAGAAUGAAGAGAGAAGUUCGCUAGACAUUCGUCCUUAUGAGCCUGGGAGUAUUCUAGACAAUUAGACUGCGGAAGAAAUACCUAAAGUAUUUAGAACUGUCUCAGAGUAAUAUUCAGAACAAACUUGUUGUUUUAGCCUAGAAAUAACAAGAAUUCUUUUGUGAAAUAGGCUUAUGUUUAAAAAUCAUUAUUUUAAUAAAAUACAUCUUUGCAAUUGUUUCGAGUAAAUAUUCUUUCAUUUUUCCCAUACGCCUAAAUAUAUUCUUUCAUUGCACAAAUAUUGUACAUAACUUCAUACAUUCUUUUGUAACCCUAUUAGGUCCCUGUGUAUCAAUGACGUGAAUGACGCUGUUACGAGCUCAGAGUGCCCUUUUGAACGAAAUGUGUGUUUAGAGGGAUCGCAUGACUUUGAAGGUGAUGAAAAUAGUGGUUUAUCUUUGGACUUGUUGAGGAUGGUGGAACAAGAGGAAAAGUAAAUCCUACCUCGCAAAGAGUCAGUAGAAGUUGUGAGCUUGAAAGAAGGGAAGGAGGUGAAAAUUGAAACUGAAAUUCUCGCAAAGACAAGACGAGACCUCAUUGAAUUACUCCAUGAAUUCAAAGAUGUCUUCGCAUGGUCAUACCAGGAUAUGCCUGGAUUGAGUGCUGACAUUGUAGUGCAUCGCUUACCCAUAAAAGAGGAUUGCAAACCAGUUCAACAGAAGCUCAGAAGAAUGAGGCCUGAUAUUGUGCUCAAAAUAAAAGAGGAGGUUAAGAAACAGUUUGAUGCUGGUUUUUUAUAGGAGGUCAAAUAUUCUGAGUGGGUAGCCAAUAUCGUUCUAGUCCCUAAAAAAGAUAGAAAAGUACGAAUGUGUGUCGAUUAUAGGGAUUUGAACAAAGCAAGCCCAAAUGACAACUUCCCAUUGCCACAUAUUGAUACUCUGGUGGAUAAUACGGCGAGAUUUUCGCUGUUUUCUUUUAUGGAUGGGUUCUCAGGAUAUAAUCAGAUAAAGAUGCAUCCGGAAGAUAUGGGAAAGACUACGUUCAUUACUUUAUGGGGAACAUUUUGCUAUAAGGUGAUGCCAUUCAGAUUAAAGAAUGCGGGAGCAACAUAUCAGAGAGCCAUGGUAGCCUUGUUUCAUGAUAUGAUGCACAAAGAAAUUGAAGUAUACGUUGAUGAUAUGAUUGCCAAAUCCAAAACAGAGGAUGAACAUGUACAGGUCUUGAGAAAAUUGUUCUUAAGAUUGAGGAGGUUCUAGCUCAAGCUUAAUCCGACAAAAUAUACUUUUGGAGCCAGGUUAGGAAAGUUGUUAGGCUUCGUAGUCAGCGAAAAGGGAAUUGAGAUCGAUCCAGACAAAGUCAAGGCAAUACGAGAUUUAUCGCCACCACGUACCCAGAAAGAAGUUCGAGGUUUCUUGGGAAGACUUAAUUACAUUACUCGGUUCAUUUCACAGUUGACCGAGAAAUGUGAUCCCAUAUUUUGCCUUUUGAAGAAACAUAAUCCUGAUGUCUGGAAUGAAGAAUGUCAGAAAGCCUUUGAAAAGAUAAAGCAAUACUUAUCUAACACUCCAGUACUGUCACCACCUAGCCCUGACAGACCCUUGAUUUUGUAUUUAACGGUGUUUGACAACUCUAUGGGAUGUGUACUGGGUCAACAUGAUGCUACAGGAAAGAGGGAAAAGGCGAUUUAUUAUCUCAGCAAGAAAUUCACUGAUUGUGAGAUGAGAUAUUCGUCUAUCAAAAAAUUGUGUUGCGCCCUGAUUUGUAUGACCACGAGGUUGAGGCAAUACUUACUCUAUCAUACGACUUGACUAAUAUCAAAAUUAGACCCUUUGAAGUAUAUGAUGGAGUCAACAGCAUUGAAUGGAAGAAUGGCUAGAUAGCAAAUCCUGCUCUCUGAGUUUGACAUCGUAUAUGUAAGUUAGAAGGCCGUCAAGGGGAGUGCGAUAGCAGAUUUCUUGGCUAGUAGGGCUCUGGAAGAUUAUGAGCCUCUGGAUUUUGAUUUCCCGAAUGAAGAUUUGAUGUAUGUGGAGAAUGCUGAAGAGGAUUCCCAAGAAAAUCAUUCUUGGAGAUUGAACUUUGACGGAGCAUCGAAUGUACUAGGCAAUGGGAUUGGGGCAGUCCUGGUGUCUCCGAAUGGAGAUUAUCAUCCUUUUACCAGUAAACUAGACUUUGAUUGCACUAAUAACAUGGCUGAGUAUGAAGCUUGCAUCAUGGUUAUACGAGUAGCCAUAGAGCAGAAAAUUAAGACAUUAGAGGUGUACGGAGACUCAGCAUUGGUGAUAUACCAGCUAAGAGGGGAAUAGGAGACAGAGAUCCUAAAUUGAUCCGUUACCAGAGAUUGGUUUUGGGAUUGAUCGAAGAGUUUGACAACAUUACCUUCUGUUAUCUCCCACGAGAAGAAAAUCAGAUGGCUGAUGCUCUUGCUACUUUAGCUUCCAUGAUUAAAGUGAAUCAGUUGGAGGACAUGAAGCCCAUUCAAAUUAGUAUUUAUGAGAUCCCAGCCCACUGUUACAGCAUUGAAGAAGUGGAGCAUGAUAAUAGUCUCUGGUACCAAGAUAUUUUGUUAUAUGUGAAGAAUCGCGAAUAUCCUGAUCAGGAAACAGAGAAUGAUAAGAGGACAUUGAGGAGACUAGCUAUUGACUAUGUUUUAGAUGGGGAGAUCUUAUACAAAAGGGGAAAGGAUCGAGUACUGUUAAGAUACGUGGACGCUAUAGAGGCUAAAGAAAUUUUGGAAGAAGUCUAUGAGGGUGUUUGUGGAACUCACGCUAAUGGAUUCACCAUGGCCAGACAGAUUAUGAGAUUCGGGUAUUACUAGUCCACUAUGGAAGGAGAUUGCAUCAAUCAUGCCAAGAAAUGCCAUAAAUGCCAAAUUUAUGGGGAUAAGAUGCACGCGCCUCCUUCUCCUCUUCAUGUUAUGACUUUUCCAUGGCCUUUCUCCAUGUGGGGUAUGGACGUCAUUGGACCAAUAUCACCGAAGGCUUCUAAUGGACAUCGUUUCAUUUUUGUGGUUAUUGACUACUUCACUAAGUGGGUAGAGGCAGCCUCAUAUUCUAAUGUCACGAAGCCAGCAGUCAGUAAGUUUUUGAAAAAAGAGAUCAUAUGUCGAUAUAGAAUGCCUGAAAGGAUCAUAUCUGACAAUGCGCUGAAUUUGAAUAACAGCACAAUAGCGGAAGUCUGUGAACAGUUUAAUAUCAGGCACCAUAAUUCGUCACCGUAUCGUCCAAAAAUGAAUGGUGCAGUGGAGGAGGCCAAUAAAAAUAUUAAGAAGAUUGUGGCGAAAAUGGCUGAAACUUACAAUGAUUGGCAUGAGAAGUUACCAUUCGCUCUUCUGGCUUAUCGAACAUCGAUCAGGACUUCUACUGGGGCAACACCUUUCUCGUUGGUUUAUGGAAUGGAGGCAGUUUUACCCAUUGAGGUUGAAAUUCCUUCUCUUCUAGUUUUGACUGAGUUGAAAUUGGAUGAGGCUGAGUGGAUCCAAUCUCGGUAUGAUCAACUGAACUUGAUUGAAGAGAAAAUAUUAAAAGCCAUUCGUCAUGGCCAAAUGUAUCAGAAGCGAAUGAUGCGAGCUUAUAGUAAGAAGGUUCAUCCCAAAGAAUUUCAUGAAGGGGAUUUGGUUUUGAAAAAGAUCCUCCCUUUACAAAAGGAUUUCAGAGGGAAAUGGAUGCCAAACUGGGAAGGACCUUAUGUUGUAAAAAAGGCUUUUUCCGGAGGCGCUUUGAUUUUGAGUGAAAUGGAUGGCAAAAAUCUUUCGAAUCCUGUAAAUUCAGAUUCGGUUAAGAAAUAUUUCACUUGAAGAAAGGGAGGAAUCAAAGUGAAAACCCGCAAAAGGCGCUCUGAUUUCCCCAAAAAAAAAAGAGAGGCCAGGGUGAAAACCCGAAAAGGGCACCUUGAGACCAAAGGGGGUUUGAGUUGAAAACCUGAAAAGGGCGGCUCAAACAUUGUCAGAUUGGGGCAUAUGGUGAUCUUGCUUCGCUAAAGUCAAUAAUAAAAAGAUGUACGACGUCUUGGGGGCAUUGACAAAGUACUGUAGAUCCCCUAAACACAUGUUAAGUUCAGAAUGGUUCUUGGCUUGCACGGAGAAGUUCAAGCGGCGAUAUCCAAAGCACCUAGCCUUCAUAAUAUUUGUACCAAGUUUUUUGGUUCUUGUAAAAACUUCAUUCUUCGCUGUUCUUGAAUAUUUUUUUUCUUUUCAGGACACUUACUAUCAAUAAAUUCUUGAAUUAAUUCAUCUCUUACUCAGUAUUUUUAAUUUUUGCGCAAACAUGUCGCAUUAGAAUAAUGAUUGAUGGACUAAUAAAUUUUCACAAAAGAAGUUUUGUAUAUUACUUUGGGAAUUUCUAAAUAAUUUAGUAAUUUGAAACAGGACUAUUGGUUAGAACGCCCUAAGUUCAAAAGUCUAAAUUAAGACCACCUUUUCAGAUUUGGAUAGUGAAUAAGACAGCAAGAAGUCUGGAGGGGGUAGGAAGAAAUCCCCUAUGGAAAGAAAGUUCUUCAUUUGGGCAUGAGCAUUUGGUAGGACACCCUGAGAGUGGUGUAAACAAAUUUCAUAAUCUGUAUCCUUGAAUUACGAUAGGAGAAGAUUGAGAAAAGUCAAAUUUUCUGACUCUUAAGUUACGGUGGAAAGAAUGUAGUACAAAUUUUGCCUUCUAGAGGAUUGUGCUUCAAAAGUGCACAAUGGGAGGCAAUUUGAUUAAGUAUUUCUUUGAAAAUAUCAGUCAAGCAAAAGGCGUCAGCGACAAAUCAGAAAUGAUAAUUCUCGAAAAAAUGACAUUCUGCAUGCAUUCAAAUGUCAUUCAUACGCGUCUAGUUAGGAGCAUUUGAUUCAUUCUGAUCAUGACAUCCUGAUCUCUAGGCAUAAUUAAGUUCAUAGAACAGAUUUUUACAGGUCAUGUUCCUUAGAGAAUAGAUCGGUAACCAGCAGAUCUUAUCUCUCUAAGCAGUAGUGGAGCAGAUCAAAGACCGCGAAUCUUAUCUUUCCAAGAUAGAGGGAAACAAAUUUAAGCCACCAAGCCUUGUCUCCCUGAGCAGCAGCAGAGAAGGUUGAAGAUUGUAGAUCUUAUCUCCCUAAGCAGUAGUGGAGCAGAUCGAAGACGGCGAAUCUUAUCUUUCCAAGAUAGUGGGAAGCAGAUUUAAGCCACCAAGCCUUGUCUCCCUGAGCAGUAGCGGAGAAGAUUGAAGAUUAUAGAUCUCAUCUCCCUAAGCAGUAGUGGAGCAGAUCGAAGACGGCAAAUCUUAUCUUUCCAAGAUAGUGGGAAGCAUAUUUAAGCCACCAAGCCUUGUCUCCCUGAGCAGUAGUGGAAAAGGUUGAAGAUUAUAGAUCUCAUCUCCCUAAGCAGUAGUGGAGCAGAUCGAAGACGGUGAAUCUUAUCUUUCCAAGAUAGUGGGAAGUAGAUUUAAGCCACCAAGCCUUAUCUCCUUGAGCAGUAGCGGAGAAGGUUGAAGAUUGUAGAUCUUAUCUCCCUAAACAGUAGUGGAGCAGAUCGAAGACGACAAAUAUUAUCUUUCCAAGAUAGUGGGAAGCAGAUUAAAGCCACCAAACCUUGUCUCCCUGGACAGCAGCGGAGAAGGUUAAAGCCGAUAAUCCCAUCUCCCUGAAGUUGCAGAGGAGUAAAUUAAAGCACUAGUUUUCUGUACUUCUGAAGAUACAGUAUGAAGGACUGAGGCUACUUAAAGAAGAAGAGUACCAAGGUCCAGCAUGACGGGGCAAAAAUUGGGCAUUUUUAAAGUCUUUGCUCUGUUCCUGCUACACGAUAACGAGCAAAGAGGGGCAGCUGUAACACCCAAUUAUUGCCCGGUCCAGCAAAAAAACAGACAAAAUAAUAAUAUAAAAACAGUCCAUAGUGUCCAAAUACAAACGGGCUACAAGGCCCAAACCAAAAUAAAGUGGUGGCCCAAAUUACAAUGGCCCAAAAACGGGUAAAACCCUAGGGUUUCUAAUCUUCAACAGCGCCGCAGUCGAGCCUCGCCUCGCCUCCGGAUCUCCGCACCUGCGCCUGCAAGAAAUAGGCACAAAAGGAAACAAAAAUCAAAUAUUAGAUCAAGAAGAUACUGAAUGUAAUUUGUUUCCCUAUUUUUAUUAUUAUCAUGACUAUAAAAACCCAUUUGUAAUACGGGAUAAGUGAUCGGAUUUUUGAAAAGAGAAAUAAAAAACUACUACUUUCGCAAUAUAGAGAGCAAAAAUCGAAUCAAUGGUUGUUAUUUAUAGUUUUUAUUUAUUUUUUAUUGUUAUUUUUUUUACCAUUAUAUACAUACGAAUAAAAUAAAUAAAAGAGAAGAAAUCACCAGUGUUUUGAGCCCUAGAUCGCCGUGGACGGCUGAGGGUGUCGUCUCCGAUGAAAGACGACCGGAAGUCGAAAGGUUUCUCUGCUUUCUGGGGCAAUUCCCCUGAUAUUUUGUGAGAUUUGAGCCCGGAUUUAGGCUCAGGGGGUCAAGAAGGUUAAAAGGGUAUUUUUUACUUUUUUUCCGGCCACCGCGGACGGUGGUGCCGGCGCGGGAGAUAGGCGGCCGGUGUGGUGGCCGGCAGAGGGCCAAUGACCGACCGAUGGCCGAAGGAUGGACUGAGGAGAGAGCGUUUCUUUAAGUUUUUUUGUUUUUUUUAAAAAAAGGGUUUUCAAAUGAUUUUUUUUGAAAGAUUAUGAGUAUUUAUAGGGUACCAAAACAGCGUCGUUUUGGAGAGCCCUCAGACGCCCAAAACGGCGUCGUUUUGGGUGAGCUGACCCGACUCUGACCCGACCCGGCCGAGGAUCCGCGUGUUUUUGUGCGGAGGGGUAAAUUGCGCUUUUAGCCCCUCCGCCCUUUAACAUAUUUCUAUUUUUUUUAUUUUUUUAAAUUCGGCCUUUAAUUUAUUUUAAAUUCCAAUUUAAUCCUUUUGAACGACGCCGUUUUAGAGGAGAAGGGAAAAUUGCCCUUCCAGCCCCUCUAUGUAAUUCGCGCAUUCAAUUUAGUCCUCUAGACUUUAUUUAUUUGCGGAUUUACCCCCGAAUUUUUACUUGCAAUUCAAUUUAGUCCUUUUUUUCAUAUUUCUCUUAAAAUCAAUAUUUUAAUAAUAAAUAAUUAUUAUUUUAUAUAUAUAGGUUUUUUUACGUAUGUAUUUAUACCUUUAAAAAACCAAUAUUUUUCGUAUAUUUUAUAUUCACAUGUUUAAUUUAUUUAAUUAAUUUUGAUAUUAUUUUAAUUGUUUUAAACUUAUAUAUUUUUUUAUGUGUACAUGUAUAUUUUUUUUAUCAUUUGUUUAUUAAUUUAUGCUGGCAUAUUUUUAUUAUUAUCUUGCCCAUUUAUUUGAUGUUUUGCAUGUCAUUAUUUUAUUUAUUUAUUUGCUUCUUCAUAUUAUUCCUAUGAAAUUGUUGUAUUUAUUAUUGAUAUUUGUUUAAAGGAGCAUUUAUUCACAUAUUCAACAUAACAUUAUACUAGCCUUUUAUUUAAUUGUAAAACGAAAUUUUCAAAAUUGAGAUAAUGCUUGUAUUUAGGAUUUUCAAGGAAAUUGAGCUCUAACGUAUUGGGUUCCGAUUUUCUUCGUUAAAUCUAACAAUCGAGUAUUUCUCUUUAAUAGAAAAUAAAGAACUCAUUAUUGGGAAUUCAACACGUUGUGUCCUAACGUAUUGGAUGUGACGCAUUGAUUUCUCGAAAUGAAGAUUUUUCUAAAAAUAAUAAAGGAAAUAUUCCGAGUUUGGGAUUUUAAAGAAAUCGUGCCCUAACGUAUUGGGUGUGAUUUCUUAAAUCUUGGAUAAGUGGAUGUUCUUUUAAAGUUUUAUCGCACUAUUAUUUUGGCCCAAUUCAUUUUGAUGGAAAUUAGAAUGUUGUGCCCUAAUUAGAGGUUCUCAUGGGCCGGGCGGCCCGGCCUGGCCCGACGGCCCGCCCGAAAUAUGGGAGGGUUUGGGUAAAAAUAUAGGCCCGAAAUAUGGGCUUGGGCAAAAAACGAGGCCCGAUUAAAAAACGGGCCGGGCCUCGGGCACAACUUNNNNNNNNNNNNNNNNNNNNNNNNNNNNNNNNNNNNNNNNNNNNNNNNNNNNNNNNNNNNNNNNNNNNNNNNNNNNNNNNNNNNNNNNNNNNNNNNNNNNNNNNNNNNNNNNNNNNNNNNNNNNNNNNNNNNNNNNNNNNNNNNNNNNNNNNNNUUUUUAAUUUUAUUUUAAUUUUAAAAUAAUUUUUGGUAUUUAUUUAAAAAAUGGGCCGGGCCCGGGUUUAUGAAUUUUUUCCCGGUUCGGGCCUGGGCAAAAUUCUAGGCCCAUAUUUCGGGCCGGGCCGGGCCCGGGCCUAGGACCCGGGCCAAAAUUUUUUUCUGGGCCCGGCCCGAACCCGGCCCAUGAGCACCUCUAGCCCUAACGCAUUGGGUGUGGCAUUUUUGCUUCUCUAAAUGGAGAAGGGUCUUAAUACGUAAUGUUUUAAGUUUUUUUUAAGAUUAUAUUUUAAAAUUUUCGACCUUAAGACACUAAUUAAUCAACUUGGUACCAAAGUUUGGGCGUUACGAGGGUGCUAAUCCUUCCUCGUACGUAACUGACUCCUGAACCUUUUUUUUUUCUGAAACUCGUAGACCAAAAUCAUUUUAGGUGAUCCAAUCACACCUCAAUAAAAGAUUGGUGGCGACUCCUAAUUUUCAUUUUUUAAAGUCGACAACCUAAAAUUUUUUGUUUUCAAAAAAUGGUUUCGACAACUAAUUUGAAAUAAAUGUAAAGUAUUCGAAUUCUGUUCUGAAAUGUGAAAAUAUAAUCGACUCUGAUAUGAAUGCCCAAUUAGACAAGAUAAGAAAUAGUGGGAUAUAGAUGGCAUGCCAUUAAGGAAGAUUUAGCGCGCUAUCUAUUUAUGCACUUUGGUGUUGUCCCGUUACACGUUUCGACGUUGUUCUACUCUGUUCUGUAUAUCCUAUGUGUUCUGUUAAGUCUACUGGGCCUCUAUAAAAAGGUAAAAGGUUUCCUAUGUUAAAUGUUAAAGUAUAGUAUCUGUUAAAUGAAGGAAUAAGGAAAUUAAAUAUAUUGAAAUGGGACUAAAUUGUGAUACGAUAAACAAUAGCAAUAGAUGAAAACAUGUAACAAUUGGAUGCUAAGUUAAAGUUAAUUAUGAGUACAAGUUCUGAAUAAUAUUAUGAAAAUGAUCAUAAAAAAAUUAUUUUUUUUGGUAUGGAUUCCCUUAUUAGAUUUGACUCUAAUUUGGUAGAUUUAUGUCAUCCUAUUUCUAGGAUUGCAUGCAACUCCACUCAAUUAUGCUAGAUAUACGCUUAAACAUAGACUUUUUCUCCUCUGAUUUAAGCACGUUAAAUAUGAAUUAAUAUCCCAAAAAUAUUAAAAUAAGAGAUAAGCACACAUAACUGAGAACAAUAAUCAAGUAUUUAUCGCGUAAAACAGAAACCAAAUAAUAGAAUUCAUCAUAGGGUUCAUCCUCCCUAGGUAUCUAGGGAAUUAGUUCAUAAUUGUGAAUAAAAACAUCUCAAAGUUAGAAUAACCACAAGAAAUAAAGAAACUCAUAAAAACUUCAAAAGAAAUUAAAAGGAGGUUUUCAAUCUUGAUGGAAAUCUACUUUAGAGUUGGCUCCAAUAGUGUUCUUCGAGUUGCUUUCUUCAAUCUUCUCUGAUGGCCCUCUAUUCUCUUCUUCUAUUUGGUAUUUAAAGAAUUUAGAAUGCUCAGAAAGCCUAAAAAUUACGUUUUUCUGCGUGUUUGGGAUGCAAGUCGCGAAAUCGACAUGGUCUGGCACAUGGCCAUGUGUCCAGCCCAUGUGGCUCACACAGCCGUGUGUCUAACCCGUGUGGCUCCUGAAAUUUUCUCUUUUUGUUUGUUUUCUCUCUUUUUGCUCUCAAAUGCUCUUCUAAGUAUAGAAACAUGAGUUCAAAGGGUUAGGAGCAUAAAAUUCAUCAAUUUGCAUAAAGAAUCAUCCAAAAACGCAUUAAGAAUAGGAUUAAAACAUGUUACCUUUAUCACUUAUCAAUACCCAAGCCAAUGUAUCGAUACCACUAGCAGAGGUACCAAUAAAUCUCCCCUGAAAUAGCUCAAAAAUGUCAAAAAUACUGAUAUGUGAAGUUAUUUGAAGAUUUAACUGGUUUUAUUCAAAUUGUUUCGAAAAUAUUGUGUUAGUAACAUCAAAUGAUUACAAUAAAUUAAUUGGUUUAUUAAUUUUGACCAUGGUUGCUUUUAGAGGUGAGCAAAACCCGAUUCGACUCGAAAAAAUCGAAAAAAAAUUGAAUUUCGAGUUAAACGAAUCGAGUUAUUCGAGUUAAUCGAGUUAUUCGAAUCAACUCGAAUUUUUUUUUAAAUUUCGAGUUCGAAUCGAGUUAAGUUUUCGAAUUCGAAUAACUCGAAUAAUUCGAAUAUCAAACUAUAAUAUUUUACAUUUUUACCCCAAACUCCCAAACUUUUUUACUUUUCCCUCAAAACUUUUCCUCCUUCCCACUUUCCCCCCAAAACUUUUAUUCCCCUCCCCUCCCAACCCCCCAAUCUACCCAAAAUCCAUUUCCCACCAAAAUUUUACUCGCCCCAUUUAUUUUUAUCUCAAAAUUUUACUCCCCAAANNNNNNNNNNNNNNNNNNNNNNNNNNNNNNNNNNNNNNNNNNNNNNNNNNNNNNNNNNNNNNNNNNNNNNNNNNNNNNNNNNNNNNNNNNNNNNNNNNNNNNNNNNNNNNNNNNNNNNNNNNNNNNNNNNNNNNNNNNNNNNNNNNNNNNNNNNNNNNNNNNNNNNNNNNNNNNNNNNNNNNNNNNNNNNNNNNNNNNNNNNNNNNNNNNNNNNNNNNNNNNNNNNNNNNNNNNNNNNNNNNNNNNNNNNNNNNNNNNNNNNNNNNNNNNNNNNNNNNNNNNNNNNNNNNNNNNNNNNNNNNNNNNNNNNNNNNNNNNNNNNNNNNNNNNNNNNNNNNNNNNNNNNNNGGAUCCCACAUAAAAUAUUCGUGUUAGAAUUUUAUAUUGGUAUCAAUUUCACAUUUUAUUUUUAAAAUAACUUUUAUUAAAAAUCAUAUUUUUACAUUUAAUAUAUUUUUUAAUUCUAAAAUACAUAGUGACAAGAAUCUGAAGAUAAUUGAAACAACUAAGCAAGCAAAGAAGCUAAUCAAUAUAUAAAAAAUUAAUAAAUAAAUUAUGAAGUGAUGAAAGUUAAUAAAAAUUUUGAUUAAGGUGGACAAAUUUUAUUACGAUGGGUGACAAUGGUUACGAGGACCCAAAAUUAUUUUUUAAAAUUUAACUCGAACAAAUAUAUUCGAUUCGAUUCGAUUCGAAUUCCAUCUCACUCGACUCGAUUCGAGAAAACUUCACAUAAAGUUAGGAUGAUAAAAUGAGAUUCGAGAACUCGAUUAACUCGAAAAUUUUCGAUUCGAUUCGAUUCGAUCGAAUGCUCACCACUAGUUGCUUUGGUAUCAAAUGUAACAUUCCCAUACCAUGACUCAGUGAUUAAGUCACGUAUAGGGGUGUUAUCUGGUGUACCACAUGUACAUUAUGCUACCAUACAAGGACCAAUUUUUAAAAACAGAAAUAGAUGAAAUUUUUAAUAGAAGGACCGGUUUGCUCUUUAAUCUAACAUAUAAUGACUAAUUUACCUAUUCUUUGAAUAGAAGAGACAAAAUGUAAUCCAACUCCUAAUACAAGAUUUCCAUAAUACUUUUACCAUGACGUGACUCAAUUGUUCAUCUUGAUACUUAAUAUUAUCUACUCAAUAUUUUAUCUCACAAAUUUUAAAUAUGCAUGGAUCCCAUUUAUUAUUAUUAUUAUAUAGGAUUCCAUUUAAUAUUAUAGUAUUCAGCUUUUUUUUAAAAGUCUUAUACUCGUAAAUAUAUUUGUAUUAAAGUAUAAUAAUUUAAAAAGAAAACAUUAAGCAUAUAUAUAUAUAUAUAUAUAUUUGUAUAUUAUUAAUUAAAAACAGAUGGCAUUAGCCAAACUUGAAUCCUAACAUUUAAAUAUCAAUUAAUUGUUGGUAAAUAUAUCUCCAUCAAGUACUGACAUAAUAUGGAUUCCAUGUCCACCCAAGCACCAAUUCAUAUAGACAAAAAAAAAAAAAAAAUCUAGUACAAAUUUAAUACCAUGACGAGACCGAAGAUUUUAGCUAUUAUCUAACAAAACCAUAGCAAACACUGUCAACCAUAAUUUCCAAAAGACGAAAUUCAUGUGAAAAUCACCACAACAAUCUGAGGAUAUUUUUCCGGAAAUUUAGUCAAUCCUUGCAGUUCUAUCCAAUUGGGUGAGCUGACACAUCAUCUUUAUCUCUAUGAUUGAACCAUAUUUUAGACUAACAACAGUACUACUCUAUUAACUUUGCUGUUAAAUGGUAUGCAAUUUGCUUAUAAUUUAUGGAAUUAGAACCCCACCUCUUUCCUGGAAAAUUAAUGGGAAUUUUGACAAAGUUGAAAUGCGGAUAAGAGAGUGCUUUAUUCUUGAUGGAAAAACUAAUACCUUUUUCAUAAUUCUCUUCAAUCAACCACUUCAGUGACUUAUCAGGCAAGAAAGCAAAUCAGAAGAGGUAAAGGGCAAAGGUAUCUGGUAAUGCAUGCAUGCAUUUUAGUGCCUUCUUCAUGACAAAAUAAAUAAAUUAACAGUAUGAUAGUUUAAGGUAUGAAUGGUAUCAUUUCCAUGAUAUUUAAAAGAGAAUAACUAAGGCCAACAAGGGCAAAAAUAGGUUGAGAGGGGAAAAUAACCUUAUGUCCUUAUCUUGUUGUGGGAUGGAAGUGAAGAUGUCACCUCUUAUAAAGGGCUGCAUAAUGUAACUAGAAAGAGUGAAGCUGAGGUUUUUUUGACACUAGAGGGACAAGAAAAGCUGCAUUUAUCCAUUAGAGGAAGAUGGCAGUAAACAGUUGGCCAAUUGGGAUGCCAAGUGGACCCCUGCUGGCACUUAUCCGUUGUGUAUAGUUGAAGUAAGAUUAAUAUUAUAUGCAGAGAACCAUAUAUGUGAAUGAGAGAGGAAACUGCACUGCAAUUUUUUACCAUAAAAUAGUGUCAUAGAUCAACUUUUUUGGUUGAUGAUGAUAGGCACAUGGGCUGCUGCACUGAAAUACCAGUUUGUUUAGUCAUUUUAUAUAAUUCUUUACAUUUUGAUGACUACUGAGACAGUUUUGAGAUAUUCCCUCCCAUAUACUUUGAUCUUCACCUGCACUGCUGUUUCCCCAUUUUCUUUUUUGAUGUUCUUUCUCUGGGAGUUCACUUCUUUUGUAUACAGAGAAGGAAAGGAAAUGGAGAGUAAGAAACAAAAUGGUUCUUCUUCCUCAUUCACUGCUCACCUAUUUGGUUCCAAGGAAUCAUCACCAUCGUCAAAAGGGAUUUUCAGUUCCAUUUUCCCACCUCCAUCAAUGGUACAUGUAAAUAUACAGUUUCUUUUAUAUAUUGGAUUCUGCUGAUUGGACAUGAUUUAGUUCAUAUAUCUGAUAGGGGACUUUCUUUACUUGAAAUAUCAGGUGGGUGGGAGGAACUCUUCAAGCUCUCAGGUGUUAGAAUCAUGCCCAAAACAACCUUUAGAAGGAUCAGACUGGAGACAUGGAAUGCAAGGUUAUUGAUCAAUGAUAAAGCUAGUGUUCUGUGCUGAUAGUAUUGUCUGAUAUGUGUUUUUUUAAAUCUUAUAAUGUAGCUCCACUUGCAGAGAGUGCAACAUAUACCAAAGCCAACAAAGACAGUAACUCUGUUUUUCAGGAAGAAAGGAUGGAACCAUUCCAUUUAAGUUCAUCUCUUUACUAUGGAGGCCGAGACAUAUAUCGUCAUUCUUCAAGUACACAAACUUCUACAUCAUAUCCUAUUGUGAGUUACGAGACUUGUUGAAUCCGAUAUAUAUAUAAUAUUUACUUUGUGAUCGAUGCAUGAAAGUACUCGUAAGUUUUUCUGAUGCAUGUAAGUAAUUGAACUAUAUAUUGUGAAUGAAUAGUUUAAGAAAGAUGGAGAACAUGGCCCUAAUGGAAGCAAUUCACAAGAUGCUUCUACAGGAAACUGGUGGCAAGGUACUCACUGUUCUAAUGCAACUAUUAAUUCAUACUUAUCGAUGUCUCAAAACUUGACUUUGGUUUCUGCAGGUUCGGUUUAUUAUUAGAGCUAUAUAGCCUUCUAAUCCAUAUGCAUCGUCCGGUCUGAGGUACUUCCAUUUUGAGAACUUAAACUACUGUUCUUUACUUAACCAAACCCUUUCAUUUACUCUUUGUUAAUCUUGACAUUUUGCAGGAAUUAUCAUAAAAGCAAGAAAAUAAUCAUGGAAGAUAAUAAGUAUAAAUAAGGUUUUGACAUGGACAGAUCCCACGUCACUCCAUCAUAGGCUCUUCCCCGGGAUAAGUUUUGUUUGGCUGAGGAGAGUGGACUAUGCUUAUAUGAUCCUCCCCUCUCCCCCUAAUGUGUGUAAGGGCUGAGAAUUGAUAGAUAAGUUAGGAUUUCCUUUUCUGAAAGUCGAUAUCUAUUAUUGAGGUAUCCUUUUCAAGUAUUCAUAUGUAAGGAUUGGCCUUUGCUAGAAAAAGAUAUUAAAUGCAAGAUCAGUGAAGUGGAUAUAGAAUAUCUACGUAUUUCCAGUGCAAGUAAAAGCUAAUUUUACUUGUAUAUUUUUACUGUUGACUGCAACUUCAUAUGGUUCCAAGUACAUAUAUGAGAUAUGCAACUCUUCUUAAUGAUAUUUGCAUAUGCAACACUUCUUGUACAUGGCUGAAAGAAACUACAGCCCAUAAAUUCAAAAAAUAAAAUAGGUUUAAUGAAAAAUUUCCCCAUUAAGAUCCAGCACUAGAAAGAUUAGUGAUACCAUUUCCUUCAAGAAAUGAAGCAAUUCAGUUCAGUUAUAUAUUCAACGUUCUUAAGGGUGACUUCUGCCAGAAACUUUGUUGGCUACUGCUGCUACUGCAGACAGAUAUGUUGUAAAAAACUUCUUCAGGUCUCUGGAUGAUCAAUGAGAUAGAGAUCAAAGAAGUUCAACAAGUCUCGAAAGAGAUACCAUCUUAAAGAGAAUGUAAUUUAUUCUUGGGCCACUUGCUGUUACAAACUUUGAAUAUGAAACAAUCAUUACUAUGCUAAACUAAUAGAUUUUGAUAUCUGCAGUAUUCUUUUGAAAUGAAGAAGUCUUUCAUAUGGAGCUAACAUUUCAUUGGCAGCCUUCCUUUUCUUCUCCAAAACCUCUCUGACACUAUUCCAAACCUUAUAGAAUGCAUAUUCUAAGGAAACAACACUAGGUGUAACCGAUUUCCAAUCCGAUGAUUACUUAACCUGUGAUUCCAGGAAGUCUUGUAGAGAUAACCAGUUCCCCAGGGAGCAUUUUUUCUAAGAAUGUUUGAUUCAGUCCUUGAGUUUGUAGAGUUGGAUUCACAAAAAUAUCUAUUGCAUUAUAAAACCUUUGCUAAUUGAGCUUGUUCCAGUGGACCCAAAACAAGCAUAUUGGCUCCUACAUCUUUUUAUCUAGCACCCAUCACCAGAAACAAGAACAAUAACAGCUUCAGCAACUUUCAUCACUCUGUUAGUCAGCACAUGAUCCUGUUCUUUGGGAGUGCGCAGAAGCUCUUGAACACAAUAUCAGAAUGGAAUGGUUUCAUAUGCAAUUUUAUGCCUUGCCAAGUAACAGCUAGAUUUCCUAGCUGAAGUAUGCAACAAUCUCAUGCUUUCCGUAAGGAUCACACCAAACUGUCCUCCAGUUUAGUUUUGAGUUUGAAAUUGCUUCCAUACAAUGGCCUGCUCCAGAUAACCAUCAGCUGUUGUCUUUGGAGGGUGAAAAACCAAAUAGGUAACUGGAUAUCUUGGAAAGGUUGAGUUUGGAGAAGAAGUGAAAAUGUGAAGUUCAUGGCCUCUUUCUGCAAGGGGCAAGGUGUUCAGUCAAGGCAUGCCAUUCUACUCCUGCAAUAGUUAUGUGGCCAAUCACCAUUUGAUUAGUCUCAUGCCACGUCACCCAGGCAUCGUGGCCAUAGGCUGGCAUUGUCCUCUUGGAUGCACACUGGCUCUUUGUCACCCUAAGAUGCACCUCCCAAAGUUCGAAUCAGUGACCUCCCCAUAUAGGAGCCAUUUUCUCUACUCUAGUACCAUUUGAUCUUGUCCCAACCCAUCACCACUUAUUGGCCCCAGGCUGCGUCACACAAGCAUCGUGUCCAUAAGUUAGUAUUAUCCUCUUUGGAAGACAAAUCCUUACGGAGCAACAGUAGCUGCUUAUGGACACAAUGCAUGCGCAAUGCAGCCUGGGGCUGACUGAUUGGUGAUAGGUCGUGACAGGCCAUUUAUUGACAAAAAUUACAAUUUUAAAGUACAAUGUAAGAAGUUAAAGUCUUCCUUUGGCUUUUGGUCAUUGUUUGGUUUCUCGAAUAACAAUUGCUCGAAAAAUGACACCAAUAAAAGAUUAAGACGAAAGAAACUGCUGAAAGGAUUGCAAUUGUGCAGCAGAAAUAAUGGAACCUGAAGAUUGUAGUAUGAUCCUUUGUAAUGAAAAUGGGAGACUUGUUUAAUCAGAUGAAAACUUCAAACAAAAUUUCCCCUGGAAAAGCCGUUUAAUCAAAAUGCAGAUCAAUAAGUUUCUGAUCCAAGGUAUUGGCAUAUGGGCCCUUAUUAGAAUAAGAGAAGCAGAAUUCAGGAAAUCAGCCAUUUCCAAUGAACUACUUUUCAAGAGUAAACAAAAAAGCUUUAGCAAGUUAUCAUUGAAAAAUACAUUUUACUUCAUGGGUUAAUCUAAUCCCCGUAUCUUGAUUUAUUCUAUAAACAACAAGAGAAUCUGGAAACUCCUCAAGUCAGUGCACUGCAUUUAAUAUAAGAAAAACCAAGUGAGCUAUUCCCAAUCCCAUCAAUUAAAAUAUUUUAACAUGCCAAAUCUACCAAAUUAUGCAUCUAAAGUAAACCACCAGAUCAGCCUCAAGAUUUCUAAACUAUGGAAUAUAUUAGUGUACUAGGAGAUCUCAUAGACACCUUUUAGUUUAGAAUAUAAUUGAAGUAAAUGAAUUUCAUUUAAAUUUAAAGCUGUAGUGUUUGAUAAAUCAAACAAUAUAUCCGUUAUUUUCUAACGAGUUAAGGCAUAAAGAACAAUACAAAUGUAGAUAACAAGAGCCGAAGGGACCAAAACUACCAGAGGACCAAUGGCAGCAAAAGUGUAGAUACUCCCACAACCCAAAGUCCCCAGCUUAAUCUGAACCAGAGCCACCAAAGCCAUCAUCAAAAACCCACAUCCCAAAACCGAACCGAAACUCGAAACCAACAUCCCAACCCUCAAUGCCAUCAAGUUCACAUCCACAAGACUGGCACCAACCCCAUGCGCUGCCAAGUCAUUGCUGUCUUUGCUUAUCUUUAUGGCUUGUUUGAUGGCUAAUGCAAUUAAGCUGGAGAAGAGGAAAGAACUGAAGGAGUAGACGUGGCAUGAAAUGAGGUUCUCAGCGAUGUUGGAACCAGCAGCGCAGGAGGCGGGGGAGCUGGGGUCUAUGAGGGUGGGGAUGGGGUACCAUGCAAGGCCAAGGAAUAUAGCGAAGGUGAAGAGUGAGUUGACGUUGACUAUCCCGUCUAGUGCCAUUACAUGGAUGGUGGUGAUACUGAUCUUGUGGCCUAGCCGGACCGACGGAGAUGGGGCGGAGGAAGGUGGAGGAGAAAACAUAUAUUUCGGCCAAAACAUUGCGUUGGUUUUGGAAUUAAUGGUUGCUUCCAGAGAUUGAAAUAAGAAUUGAAGAAAAAGUGAAUGAAACUUUUGGGAUUUGUUUUUCUGUUGGCGUGGAUUUCCCGCCACGGAAAGGUAUUUGCAGUUAUCUGGAAAAUAAAUAAACAUAAUAUAAAUUUUUUAUAAACAAAAUCCCCAAAGAGAAGCUUCUUCUUCACCAGAAAUCCAUAACCCGCUAGUUUAAAGUUUGCACUGGCAUUUAAGAGCUGAUUAGCUGUAAGAUUAAAAUUAGUGAAAAAAUAUGUGAUUGGGUAGAAAUGCAAUGAUAGUGAUGAGAUGAAAAUGACCAUUACCUAAAAAUAUAUUUAUUUAAUAAUAAUUAAAUUUAUAAUAUAUUUAAUUUUAUAUAAAUUUAUUUAAAUAUUUUGAUUAGUUAACUAAUUAAAAAUUUUAAAAUUUAUUUAAGAAAAUAAAUAUAAUUAAAAUAAUUAAAAGUUAAAUGUAAUAUAUAUAUAUAUACAUAUGAAGAAAAAGCUCCAUUAUCAUCGUCCAAUGCUGGGAUGAAAAGGAGUUGGAGUUCUGAAGCUCUGCCAUUGCAUAACAAUGGCGUAAAGAGGCAUGGGAAUUCUACUCGGUGUAUGUUUUCUAACAACCCCAUUCUUUCUCCCUCAGCACUUUCUUUCUCUCCCCAUUAUCGGUUGCGCUUCAAAUAACGGCAUGUUUACUAUUAUAAUAAAUAAGGAACUAUUAAGUAUUAACCAGUAUUACUAGAAUAUUGAAAGAAAGAAAUAAAGCUUGCUUCCAAAGUGGAAAUAGCGUGAGAAAGAAUGGUUAAAAAAAUUAAUUUCAAUCUCCACUGGAGGUUUAGUUGCUAACUGGGCACUUCUUCCUCCAGUUGAAAAUAGAGGGAUCAGGAUCAGUGGGAGAAAAAGCUCAAUGGAUGCUGCUACAACUGAUCCUGCAAUUUUUUUUUUCUUUUUAGGAGAGGUGAAGUUUCUCAGAACUUUUGCAAUUGGUCCUGGUUGUCCCACUGGCAUGAAUUAAAGGUGGAAGAAGAGGGACAUGGCCAGUAUGCAAGAUGUUUGCAUCAAUGAUGUUGACCAAAGGCUUGAAUUCAUAUUGAUCCGAGGCACCAAGGUUUGUGUAUAAACAUCCAUGCUGGUUUCAGAAUACUAUGAAAGAAUGCAAUACUCUCAAUCAAGUUGAAACAAAGAGAAAGUAAAACAUGAUCUGAAAAGUGUUUUCAAGGAUUUAUAGGAAAAAAAACAAAUCCAAAUUUGCCUACAAUAUAGUGCCAAAUUCUACUGCGCUUUAAAAUCAAAUAAACAUUUGGUUCAUUCAGAACAAUGAAUAGUUUAACAAACCAAAUACAAAUACGAAUACAAAAAGGGUACACCUAAGAGCAAAUUUCACAAUAUCUUAUAAUUGUUGAUCGUGGCACUUGUGUAACCAUUCGUGCAGUGUCAAUAUUCAUAAGUCAUUUCUAAAACUCGGUAUACAUCUUGGAGUUGGUUUUAGUCUUUGAGCAAAACCAUUUUGUGUGUUUGCAUUGAAGCUAAAAGAAUACAUAUCAAGUCGGCUGAUGUCUCAAUUAAAAGCUGAUAGCAAUCGCAGUAACACUCUAACUAUAUUUUUCAAAAAAUUAAUAAUAACCUAACUAGCUACAUUGUUAAAUGGCCACCUGCUACUGCUACUUGGAACCUAAUAUUAUCGAUCCCUCAAACCAAUGCCAUAAUGUCUCCCUUGGCAACCAGUUUUGCAGUGCUCUGCAGAUUUGCAUGUUGCAUGACUCUUUCCAUAUAAACCAGAGCACAAAUAGCUGAAUCCAUAAGAUCUGCAGCUGUAAGCUGCAUAGUGAAAACUUAUAAUUGGUCUCAGAUAACUGGUCCAUUAUAAACCAUAAUUUAACUGCAUUUAGGUUUUGAAUGCCAUUUUGAUAGCUCCUGCUUUAUUGCAACUGAAAAGAGACAAAUUACAAUGUUUCUCAUUCCCAAACCAAGAUUAUUUCUAAAAAUCCCAAGCGGUUACAAUGCUUUCUUGCCACAGAGAAAAUGAUACUAUAUAUUGUUCACGUUUUACAAGUACCACCAGAAGCACAACCUAAUUCUUAUGAGAAGUAGUUCAUUCAAGUAAGUUAAAAAGUAAAACAGGGAAGGUAACCAGAAAGCUCUAGUGGCCAUGCACUUAAAAAUCAGAUGGGCAAUAGCCUUUAGUUCAAUUAGAAAUCAAAUCAUGACAUUCAACAUUGAUAGCUAAAAAGUACCUCAAGAUACAUGCUUGUCAAGAAAUGCUUUGGCCAGGUUACUGAAGCUUGCAUUUACAGUUUGAGCUGCAGCAUACCUCUCGAUGACAUCAAUUACUUCAGGCUUCAGAAUCUCCUCCCUGUUAGACUUGUUACAAAGAUAAUAAAGGGCUCCCAGAGCAUAAUUCACCUGAUAAUCAAUUGUUUCUCAGAUGUGUAAGCAUUUACAGAACCAAACAAGCAGAUUUAAUUGAAUUCCAGAGUAACUUCACAUCAGGUAAAUUAAUGUAGUUUACUAGUAUGAGAAUGCCUCAGGGAGUUCCCUUAAACAAUUUUGUCUUAAACCACACCAACUCACUUCAAGGAAAAACUAGAUUUUCCCCACUCACUGUAUUUCUGACUGGACUUGAUAAACACUUAAUGACAAGAGGGAUUCCACCGCACUGAGUGAUAAUAGCAGCAUUAGCUGGAUCUGCAAGGGAAAAGAAAGUACUCAUGAUGAAACAGUCAUCAUAUUUCAUAAAGAAAGAAAACCAUAUGUUUAGAACUAAAAGCCAGACUUACCCACACAAGAAUUGCAGAUGCCUCCAAUUCCAAAUUCCAUAAGCUUCUCGUUUGGUUCUGUUAUGCAAUCUAGGAAGAGUUCCAAAACAUUGAGCUGCUAAGAAUGUAAGAUGUUAAUGCAGCAGAACAAGUACAUGAAAGACACUGAUCAAAUUUGAGAAGAAAUUAUUUGACAUAAAACUGGAGUUUGGACCUGGCGCAAGAAAGAAUAAUUAUAUGGAUCAUAAGCAAAGUUUGCCAAGUUUGCAGCAAUCUUUUCUUUUGUUUCUGUGGCAACAAGGAACCAUUCAGUUAAGGAAAUAUGAAUGGGAUCUGAGAAUAAUACAAAAAUCGAAAUGCGCUAAGUCUAACGAGUCAGGAAUUAUUGACAUUGUAUGUACUUAGAUUAUAAACAAACCACUAGUAUUAAACAAGCAUAAAAACCAGAACUAUCUGAUGUUGUUUUCACUCAUUCUAGAAAAGCAAUUAAAUCCCCGAGUAUGAAACUUUAGUUGAAAAAAAAAUAGUGUAUUAGCUCUUACAACCGUCGAAUUAAUCUACAGAAAGAUUAUUGGCAAAGGGUCUCUAAGAUAAGCAAUGAAUUAUCCUGAAAAUGAAGCAUACCUUCAUCAGACGUGUUCUGAAACUGAUUCACCAAUUCCUAAAGCGAAAUGGAUAACCAAGAAUUAAUGAAUUGUUUUCCUCUAUGCUCUUUAACAUGAGACUUUAUGCCCAGAAACCCAAAUAUUAAAAUUGAAGACCAAAAAAAAUACCUGAAGAUAUUGUUGCCUUGAAGUUCCAUAUUGUCCAGUUCUUUCUUGCUGCCUUUGAUCAUUGGUAAACAUGUUUCCUGUUUAUAUAAAUCUCACGCAGGAAAAAGAAAAGCUUAGAUAGAAAAGUUUCGUAGUUUGCACUUCUGUUUUGUAACCAACUUUGACAAGAAAACUUACAAAAUUGAUUUGGAGAGGGUAAGGUUCCAACUCCCAAGUGGUUUACCAACUGGCUCCAAAAAUGGGUUUUUGGAAGCUUUUUUUACUAUAGCUUUGCUGGGUUUUGCUUGCCGUGAGAUUCCACAGAAUUACAAGAAAAAUGGAAGGGAAUGAGAAAAAAGAAAAAUUAGGAACAAUUUUUUUCGACUCGGGGUUUCUUUGAGAUAAAAAACAACACCAAUGAUGAGAUUAAAAUAGAAAAUAGUGUUAUAUUCAAUAAAAGGAUAAAUAUCAAAACUAUAUAUUAAAUUUAAUUUAGUGUGUAAUUUUAUGUAUAAACUUUGAUUUUGUGUAAUAUUAUACAUGAAAUUUUGAUUUUAUUUAAUUCUCACAAAUUAUUAAUACAAUUAUUGAUAUAGCAUUGUUUUAUCUUUAUAUGUUUCAUAUAAAUAUAAUUAUGUUUAUCCAAUAUAAAAACAAAUUGAUAUAUUUAUUUCUUUAAAUGCAUACAAUUGAAUCAAAAUCAAAGUUUCAUGUAUGUAAUUGCACCAAAUUAAAGUUCAUAUAUCAUAUUGCACAUUGAAUCAAAAUUCAUAUAUAAUUUUGAGACUUAUCCCGAUAAUAAAACAUAAAUUAAAAUUUAUCUUUUAUAAAACAAUAGUUAAAAAUAUUAAAAUCAUAUCUAUUAAAAUUUAUCCAAUUAUUGUAUAAAAAAUUAUAACAAUAUUUACUUUUUAUACUUUUUUUAACAAUAUUUUCUAUAAUUAUUAAACUUAUAUAUACUAGUUUUCUUAUCCACACGAUAUUGCACAAUUGAAUAACUAUAUUCUUAAAUUGUUAUGGUAUAAAACAUAAAUGAACUAAAAUUUUACAUCAUAUAUCGUAUGCUCGAAAUAUAAAAUUUAUGAUCAUAUUUUAAUAUUAGAAAUGGCUUCAAUAUUUAAUAUCUUAUCAAAAUUCACAUACAAUUAAUUAAUAUUUUUAUGAAACAAUAUAUAAAAUAUUUAAUAACUAACAAUAUAAAAUUUGGUUUAAAAAGUAAUGUAAAGUUGUAAUAAAAAUAUAAAAAUAUAUAAAGUUGUAUCAUAAUUGUAUAACACAAUUACAUAAAUAAUUGAAAUAAAAAAAUAAUUAAUCAUUUGCUAGUGUUGGGAGAUCGAUGACGAAGGUAAGACGAAGGACGGAUAAACCACCAGAUCCUAAUGAUUUAGUGGUGAAUGAGAUAGGAGUGAAAGUGGACUCUGUUGAGGUUCGACCCGUAUCAUGGAGGAUAAACUCUUGGNNNNNNNNNNNNNNNNNNNNNNNNNNNNNNNNNNNNNNNNNNNNNNNNNNNNNNNNNNNNNNNNNNNNNNNNNNNNNNNNNNNGCAUUCCAUUCAUAACUUUCUCUGAUCGAGUAUACAACUUCAUUGCGAAAUGCAUGGCUAGAACAAUGAUUGUUAAGCUUCUGGGGAGACAGAUAUCAUAUCUCAAUAUGGUGAACAUAUUGCAAUCAAUUUGGAGAACAAAUCAGCCCCUGCAAAUAAUUGAUUUGGAAAACGAUCAUUUCUCCGUCAAAUUCCAAAAUGAAGAGGAGUAUCUAACUGUGUUGUCCGGCAAACCGUGGGCUAUUUACGGGCAUUAUCUUACUAUACGACCGUGGACACUUGACCUGACAUCAAAUGUAAUAGUUAUUUUAGUAUACUUUCGCACUUAAGGAGCUUGUUUUCAAGUAAUUUUAUAUUUAUUUAUUGCAUUUUCGGUAUUUAGUAGUUAGGUAGUAAAAGUUAAUAAAAUAAGUGUUUCUAACACAUUUGUGAGUGUUAGUGACCUAUUAGGCCGACGCGGGCCUUAGGUAGUUUUAAUCUGUUAAUUUGAGUGUGUGCAGGAUGCUGAAUUUAGGGCCCAAUGGAUGUAGGGAUUUGGGACAAGUGAUGCACAAACUUCUCGAGCCGCAAAAGCAUGAUAAUGACUUUCAAGAAUGCAUGUUAUGUCGUGCCAUGGCUUGUGUAUGGCGCAAUAUAGGACCGACGUGGAGCCCAAGUAUUUCAAGGUUAUUUUUCAUCCACACAAUCAACUUUAUACGAAGACCUAGGACAUGCUAAAGACCUAAUUCGGGUUGGUACCACUUUUAUAAAUUAGACCUUAGGGGUUUGAUGUAACGAAGUAGUCUUAGACGCAUCCAAAAACCCUCGUAGUUUAAGAGUAAGAUUUAGAUUUAGUUUUCUCUUAUUUUUCUAAAACGUUUUGUUCUUUCCUUUUGGAAUCGAUUUCUAUCCAAGAUUUCUUUUAUGCAAUUGAAGUAUUUCAGUUUAUUUUCCUUUACAAACGACAAGAUUCAUUAUCCCAAUCGAGAGAUUCACUAUUCCAUUCUUAAUCGAUACAAAUCAAGAUUAUUCUAAAUCUCUUUUCUCUUUCGGUUUAUUCAUGUUAUUUACAUGUUUACAUCAAUUGAGUUUGAGAUUAUGAAUGUCAUGAGUAGCUAAUUCCUUUAGGGGAGAUUAACGAGUGGAUAGGGAAUUGAUUAACGGAGGAUUAAGGGCUUGUCAAUCGAAUUAGUUGGUAUAAAUUACACGUACUUAAACCCUAGGCUUGACAACCCUAGAAAGUAAUCAAAGGUUAAUCAAGGUCGAGAGAUAAGUUUGCCGAGUAAAUCGUAAUUUAUCCUAGUUGAGAAAGUGAGGUCGGAAGAUAAACGAGUUUCAAUAAUUAAUUAAUCAAUUAGAGGUCGAGAGGUAAUAAUUGGUUAGUUAAUAGCUAAUUCUACCUAAAACCUGAAUUUGAAGUUAAUUACAACCCCUUAAAUGAGUUAAUCUUCUUAAUUAGUUUAUUUGUUUGUUUAUUUCAUUUUUUAUUUAUUAUAGUUAUUUAAUUUCUGAUAUUCAUCCCUUUUAUAAUUUAUCGUAAUAUAGAAUUUAAUUAUUACUAUUUAGACUUAUUAUUGCAAAGAGAUUUUUAAUAGAUUUAAUUUACCCUCCAUUGGGUAUAAUCCUCAAAAUAUUUCUUUGUAUUCCAUGUAACACAAUACCAUAUUACAGUUUGACCUGUAUACUUGCAACACUGCUUCUUUAAUUUCAUAUAUAUUUGGUGUAGUAUUUUUUAGUCAAAUGUUCGCACAUUUGGCGGCAAUCAACACUAGCGUUCUCGACAGAUCAACUUCAUCCUAAAAACUUGAUGGUUUGGAUCCGAUCACCUAGGUUGCCGAAAGGCAUGUACACUAAGAGCUUGUUGAAUUUUAUUGGAAGCACAAUUGGUCCCAUUGCUAAAAUAAACCGUAAUAGAGACAAUAAUUCUAGAGGGCAAUUCACGAGACUUGUGGUUCACAUCUAAUUGGGUAAACCAUCGGUAUCAAGAAUAAUGAUCGACAAGAAGAUGUAGCAGGUGAAGUACGAAUCGUGCCGUUAGUGUGUUUUGACUGUAGGAGGUUCAGCCACACCCGUGAAAGUUGUCCAGACAAUUUUGAGAAAGAAAAAACAAAUGAAGUGGCGGAUUGUCGUACUGGCAAAGAACCAUCAACUCAAGAAUGGAUGGAGUAAGAAAAUUAUGGGCCAUGGAUGUUGGUCAAACGUAGAAUGAGAUAGAAUACUAAACUGGCGGCAAAUUCAAAAGAGGGCAGUGAGAAUCAACUGACUAGAAGAUCGAGAUCCAAGGUGCUUAGCAAAAAUUCGAGGUUAUGAUUGGGAAGAAUUUAAAUGGUGUAAUUGAGAGAGAGGAAAUUAAGGAUUUUGGAGAGCAAAAUAGGAUAAAGAAAAAUUGGCAAGGGUGGAAAAGUCAACUGCUACAUGUUUCAAGGCAUUGGGCAGUAAAAAAGGGGUUACUAAAAGUAAAGGUAAAGGGAUUGGCGUGGCAAAUGGGUUGCAUGGUUUUUCCAAAGUUUUGAAGCCCAAUAAUAGCCAUGGCUCAUCAUUUGGGUUGAUAGGCAAUCAUUUUGAUGAUGGCUCAAGGAUGGACCCAUAGAUCUUGGACAAAGGGUUGGAGCCGAUCCAGUUUAAAGGUUUGUUAGCCUUGUGGCAAAAAGAGGAGACUCAUCUGGAAAAGGGAUUUUAGAAAUUUCAACCGACAAUAGUGCAAAAGGAAAUAUGGGGGAGGUUUUUGGGCAGCGACCGAUGAUCGUGACUAGUAAAACCAGUGAGAACACGGGACAAAAACCAAUGGGAAUGAUGGAAGAAGAACACCUAUCCCUUUUGAUGGUCGUGGUGAUUGAAGAUAUUGUUCAGAAUCUAAGCCAUGAGGUUGCGAGAGAUGCAGCGAGAAUAGGAAAAGACAAGGAGACGUUUGGAUCGAACGAUGAGACAUUGGCGGACACAGAGACGACGUGAUUAGGGGGAGAGACCCUUUUGGUUUCUAGCUAGCUGGCUAGUUUAUUCUAAAUUUCAUCAUAUUGUCACUAAAUCAUGGAGAGUUGAAGCCGACAUUGGAGAAAAUUUUGGAAACUUUACGCAACUGGUCCAAUAAUGGAAUAAAGUUGUCAUUGGUAAUAUUUUUGCACGGAAAAGAAGAUUGAUGAAAGGGUUAGACCAUGUCUAAAGAGCAUUGGAGCGUUGUAAUUCGUUACUAAUAAAAUAGAGGGAAGUAGACAUCCGAUCUGUACCAAGAGGAAUUGUUGUGGUUUCAAAAGUCCCAUUGUGAUUGGCUCACUAGUAGGGACCAUAACACAAAAGUCUUUCAUAGUCGCACCUUAAAAAAGUGAAGGCAGAACAGGAUAAAAGCUUUGAAAAUCGAUAGUAAUGAAUGGUGCCAUGAUAAUGAACUUCUAAAAAGGCAUGUUAUUGAACAUUUUUCCAAACUGUAUACAGUAGACAACUAUUCGAUCGGUGAUUUUUUGGUCAAAGAGUGCUUUCCGAGUUUGGGAGAUGAUUUUUUGGGUGUCUUCACUUUUGAGAUAGUAUGGCACCGUUUAAAGCUCUUGGAAUCGACGAGAUUCAUGCCAAGUUUUAUCAAGUUAGUUGGGCCAUUACCGGUGAAAGUGUUUAUAAACUGGUGAUAAAUGUCUAUUUAGGAGGGACCUUGAAUUCAAGUAUUAACAAAUCGUUGCUGGUCCUCAUCCCUAAAAACAUCGGUGCAAAAAUGAUAUGUCAGUUAGAGUGAUCAAUUUGUCUAUUGUGUUGUACAAGAUCAUCAGCAAAUCAAUUGUGAUUCAACUUCGAUGGCUCAUGCAAGUCUUGGUCAAACAAAAUCAGUCUAGAUCCAUACCGUCACGCAAUAUUUCAAAUAAUAUCAUCAUUGCUCAAGAGGCAAUUUAUACAAUGAAGAACACUAAGAGUAAGAAGGGAUAGACGGUAGUGCAGGUUGAUCUAGAGAAAGUUUAUGAUCGGGUCCAAUAGGACUUUCUGAAAGACACACUGACUGAUGUUGGCUUUUCGGAAUCCUUUGUGAGACUCAUUAUGAGUUGCAUUUCCUCGUUAUCCAUGCAAUUGCUUUGGAAUGGUUCUCUAACUGAGUCGUUCAUUCCAACCAGAGGUGUGCGCCAGGGAGAUCCUCUAUCUCCGUAUCUUUUCAUUUUGGGAAUGGAACGAUUAGGACAUUUGAUUGAAUCAAAUAUAGAACAGAAGCUAUGGGAUCCUCUUAUGCUCUCUUGUAGAGGCCUUGGGGUGUCCUAUAUUUUCUUCGUAGACGGUUUAGUUAUCUUUUGUAGAGCGGACAAUAGGGAAGUAGGAUGUCUCAAACAGGUUCUUGAUACUUUCUAUCAUUUAUUUAGGCAUUGGGUUAAACAGCAAAAGACGCAGGUUUUCUUCUCUAGUAAUGUGACGAAAGAGGAAAUGGUAAGGCCUUGUGCUAAGCUCGACUUUAUUAGAGUAAGAUAUUUUGAGAGAUAUCUUGGAAUGCCUUUUUUUCAUGACAAAGUUGGGAUUAACACUUUCCAGUUCAUCAUUGAUAAAGUCAAUAGUCAGCUUAAUGGAUUGGACGUUCGCAAGCUUUCUCUAGUUGGAUGGCUCAUCUUGGUUAAGUUUGUGUUGUUGGUGAUUCCUAAUUAUUUUAUGGCUAUUGCAAAAACUUUCAUUACAAUAUGCAAAUAAAUUAAUAAGUUGGCUCAUGGUUUCUUGUGGGGGUCAUCUUCUUUAGGUUAAAAGACAUCUUUUAUUAGUUGGAACGAUUGUUGUAAGUUUAUAAAGAAUGGGGGUUUGGGAUAUGACAGUUACAUGCUUAGAAUAAGCUUUUCCUUUUGAAGCUUGGUUUCAGUCUGAUUGCAAAUAUAGAUGUCUUAUGGGUCAGGGUAUUACGAAAUCAACAUAGCAUCUAUAGCUUAAUUUUGAAUGAUAUUCAUUGUUCUAGUUGUUCUUAUCUAUGGCAAUCUUUAUCUAAGGUUUGGGAUGAGGUGAAGAAGGGGCUCAUUUGGGCUGUUGGUUAACUUUUGAAAUGAUGAUUGGCUGAAGGAGAUAAAGCACUUGAAGCAACACUAUAUCGACUAUGGAAUCCUAGAUGAGACAAUCUAAGUUUGUGAUGUUAUUGUAUCAGAUAGUGUAUGGAAUUUACAGUUGGAAGAUAGCAACUACAUGCUCUAGAGUGGGUUAAAGUCAACGUAGAUGGACCGAUUUCAAGAAAUAUCACGAAGGCAGUAAUAGUCGGGGUGAUUGGAAGACCAAGUGGAGGGUGGUUGGAGGGCUUCAAAAUGUCAACAAGUGUGAAAAAUAUUUUUCAAUUCGUUGGGUUUUAAACUUAUACUUGGCUCAAGCCAUACAUGGGUUAUUUUAUUUGCUAUAACAAGUAGUUGGGUUAUAAACUUAUACUUGGCUCAAGUUAUAAAUGGGUUAUACUACAAGCACAACACCACAACCCAACUUCCUCAAAUGCUGCAAAAUUUUCAAAAUAUUAUUUGCCUUGAUGGCGUACCCAAUAAUGGAAUUAUUCUAGCCUUCAAGAGCCUCCUUAUAAGCUUCCACAUUCCCUGUAAUUCAAAGCUUACUAUACAAAUAAAAAAAUCAUUUUUUUCACUUUUUUCAUGACGUCUCGAACCUUGGUAUCUUCACAGUAGAGAAACCCAUCAAGGGAUUUUGUGAAGUAGAGUUGAAAAGUGAGGUUGAGGGUCUUAACAGGGUUCUAGGAGAGCAUAGCUUUGAGGGAGAGAGAGUGGCAUCUGAAGAGAUUUUUGGAGGGCCUGAGGGGCAAAACAAGUAGUCGAGAAAAUAGGUUUUGUGUCAAAGGAUAGUUUAGGGUAUUGGGAAAUGAUGGCACAUGAGUAGUCGUCGCCAUUGAUGGUGAAAAUGCAGCAACGUGUGCGUUUGUUAAUUGUUGGUGCCACAGAAAAAAUUGGUUUUCACUUUUGGGUUAAUUAGUGAAAAUAAUUAGUCUUGCUUAGGAGGAUUUCAAUUUUGUAAGAAGCAUUUUAAGAGGAGUGUGUAUUCGAUCGAUUCGGGUUUUAUAGAACUAAUAUGUACAAACUGAAAUAACUGAACGGAUUUGAAUAUAUUUUACAGCGGUCUAAAAAACCUCCAAAGAAUAGUAUAAUCACGGCAACUCAAAAACCAUAAAGAAGGUACUUUUUUUUAGAAUGGACCUAAAAAAUUAGAUAAUUCAGUGGUACCUAUAUUUUUCAAAAGUUGGGUAUUUAAGUUGAGAAAUAACAAGCUAAUUUGGUAUUGAUUUUCCAAGCGAUAUUGAUAUCGCUUGAGAGAAUUAUCGAUACCACUCUUCUAGUAUUGAUAUCUACGUAACAGAUUUGGUAAAUUUUGCUAAAUGGCCUUAAUGUAUGUUUAGUACUUAUUUUAUGUUUAUUUAAUGAAUGCUUGAUAAAAAAAAGUAAAUGUAUGACUUACAAUUCACAUGAAUGCUAUGUUAAUAAAAAAAAACAGCAUCCGUAAUAUCGUGAUGAUUUAAGAAGAACAUGAUGCGAGACAGUGGUGUAGUGUCUUAGUAUUCAAGCUCGGCAAUCGGGUCAGAUAUAGGGUGUUACAAUUGAAAAUUAACAUUAAUGCAUAUCUAAACAUAGGUAUAAGAAUAUGAUCCUCUAACCUUUUGAAUGGAAAAUUUAAAAAAUUUAAACAGAUUUGUGUUAGAUGUAUACUUGUCACACCCGGUUUUUUUAAGUUCGAAAAUUUGGAAUAAUUGGGGGUUAAAUUGAAAGAAACCAAAAGUUAAUGGUUUUUACUGAAAGUCAAGAAAAAUUUAGUGGCUGAUUUGGAUAUAGUUAAAUUCCAAUUCUAGUGUGGUUGGAUGAGAAUCGAUUGGUUUGUUAAUGGGAGACAAAAUGAUUACCAAUAGAUGGUUUCUAUAGGGUUAAUAAUCAUGCGUAAAGGGCUAUAAAUAGCUGAGAAAUAAAUCUCCAGGGUGAGUUCUUUUCUAUUUUGUUUUGUUUUGUUUUCUUUUUCAUCUUUUUCUUUGGUUGCUCCGAAGAAGAGAUAAUUACAGAGAGCUCUGCAUGGAGCGACGAUAAAGAGGUUUGAGUUAUAAAAGUAGAGAAUCCAAUGAAUUGGUAAGGUUCUAAGUCCUUCAGUGUUAGUAGGAUUAAGAAAUAAAGUUAAGAAUUUUCAGAACCUUUGAGAGGUUCUGCAUGUUUUUGGAAACUGAGUUUUAAGCUAGAAUGCUAAGUUUAAUUUAUGAUUUUGGUUGUCUUGCUUAGCUUCCAGGAGAAUGAAAGCUCUAGCAUUUGGAAAAGCUAAAAUAAGGUGGCAGAGAAACAUCAAGUGAGUUCCUGUACUCCAUUCCUGGGAUGUUGUGUAGUUGGCACAAAUCUGUGUUCAGUUUUGUGAUAAUGUAUAGUCUCUACUGAUUGUGAAUGCUAAGCAUGUAUAAGAUUGUAUAGGUAUAUGAGUAUCCACUAAUGUAGUUCACCAUGCAUGAAAUAGUUAUGAUUUCAUGUCUAAAUGAUAGAGUACUUAUAACACCCCUAACUCGUAUUCAUUGUCGGAAUAGGGUUACUAAGCAUUACCGGGAAACCAUAACUUAAAAACUUUUAUUCUUAAACAUUUCAUAUAUCAUAGCAUAAUUCAUUCAAACGCAUGCAUAAUGUCCCUUAUUCGAGCCCUCGGGGCUUUAGAAUCACUUUAGAAACAAUUUGGGACUAAAUUAGAAACAUUUAUAAUUUUAUAGAAAAAGAUAAAAAAAAAUUUCAAACUAUAGGGUUCACACGGCCGUGUGGCUAAGUCGUGUGAUUCACACGACUGAGACACGCCCGUGUCUCAGGUCGUGUAACAUUUGAAAUAGGGACACAUGGUCGCGUCUCAGCCCGUGUCUGUGCCCGUGUAACUUACCAACUUGUCCCACACGGCCAAGCCGCAUGCCCGUAUGCUAGGCCGUGUAACACUCGAAAUGGCCUCACACGCUCGUGUGUCAGGCUGUGUGCUGGGCCAUGUAACUAGCUUACUUGAAACAUUUAGAAAUUACAGGGGACACACGACCGUGUCACAUGGCCGUGUGUCACACAUGACUGAGACACACGCCCGUGUCUUAGGCUGUGUGGACAAGAAAAUGACCACUUCCAAGCCAUUUUUUUCACCCCUUUCAAGCAUGAACCUACAAGAAAUUUGUACAUGUAUACAAGGCGUUUAAACAUACUCAAAUUAUGCAAAGAAUUACUAAUCUCCAUACCAAAUGUUCAUACAACCAAUAUGCCAAAAGACACCUCAAUCAUCAAGCAUCAAACUUAUAUAUAUACAUAAGCAUAUUAGUUCAAACCUUAACCAUACAUACCUAAUUAAUCUCAAUACUAUUUCCAUGCUAUAUCAAAAAUAAUCUCACCAUAUUUGACCACAUUUAUACUAUUUACCAACUGAUUUGUUACCAACUUAUAUAUAUACAUGAGCAUAUUUGUUCAAACCUUAACCAUACAUACCUAAUUAAUCUCAAUACUAUUUCCAUGCUAUAUUAAAAAUAAUCUCAGCACAUUUGACCACAUUUAUACCAUUUACCAACUGAUUUGUUUUCAUACCAAUACAUAACACAAUUGACACAUAGCAACCUUACCAUAUUAGGCAUACCAUAUUUCAGUCAUGCACAUCUAUUCAAGACUUCUCCAAAACAUACCAUGUCUUGGCCAUAUUGAGAUUGAUACAGCAUUUACCAAAUUUGGUUAUUUCUAAACAUGCAUCAAAUUGAUCAUAUUAACCAUAACCAACAAGAUACCAAUAGUACCUUAAGUACAUCAAAUUCAAGGCAACAUUUCAUGCCAUAAUUAUCAACCAAAAUGACAUAUAUAUACCAAACUCAUUAAUUAAACAUUAGACAUAAUCCACCUAUACAUGCCAUUAUAACAUUAACCAAGACAUCAAAAUUUACCGAUAUAAUCGCUGGAUAGUGUGAUAGAUCUCUGACGAGAUUUCAACCUGAUCAAACUUUCGAUAAUCUGUAAAGUAAGGGAUAAACAACUACAUAAGCAAUGGAUGCUUAGUAAGCUCGUACAAACUUUAAACAUAAUAUUCCAAUUCAAUAAUAAACUUUAUAUGAUAAAUAUAAAAUUAUACCAAUGCCUCAAGAUUUAUCAACUACAUAACCACCAACUCAUAAAUGAGUAAGUCUAUCAACAUCAUAUAUAUAUAUAUUCAUUCCUAACAUAAUAAGAUUUUCUAAAACAUUUUACACCAUCAUUAACCUUUUCAUAAAACUACGAAUAACUUCAUUUACUUACUUUCCAUUCCAUUUACUAAAUAUAAACUUAAAUAACAAUAUCAAUUAACUAAUUAAUGUAUUUAUUCAUAACAUAGGUAAGUUCAACCAUAACAUGCGUAAUUUCUCAUUUAUAAGUACAUUAUUCAACUCAUCAAUCCCUUUUUCAUCACAUCACAUUUCAAUUAUAAACUUACCGUUUCAUUUGUAUAAUACCAGACAUAAGCAUAUACAUCAAUCAUAAUCUCAAGCUUGACAUAAGCCUAAUCACUAUCAUCAAUACACAAGUUAGUGCAUUUAUGUAUAUAACUCAUUUGGGGUUAAUAACAUGAUAAACCAUUUUAUAAGAAAUUACACCUUUUGAAUCUUACCACCUUUUUAUGAACAUAAGCAUAUUUCUAUUUAACCAAUUACCAUGUCAAUGUAUAUUAUUAAUAUUCAACAUGAUAUAAUGCAACCAAAAGCUUAACACAAACCUAAGCACUAUCCACAAUUUCAAUAGAUGAAUUCAUUUAUGUUCAGGUGAAUAUUCAGUAAAUAACAAAAAUUUCAAAUUCAUUAAACAAAUUACCUUACCGAUAUUUUUUAAAUUCAGGUCAAUAUUCAGUAAAUGCCAACUUACCAAAGUCAUUUUGGGCCGAAGCAGCCUCUAUUGCAUGUUUUUUGAUCAACCAAUCUCUAUCUAUUGCUAUUGAGAAAAAGACUCCAUAAGAGGUAUGGUUUGGUAAUUCCGUUGAAGAUCUUUGGGUGUCCUACGUAUGCUCAUGUUGAUAAUGGAAAAUUAGAACUGAGAUCCAUUAAAUGUGUUUUUCUUGGUUAUAAAGCUGGUGUAAAAUGGUAUAAGUUAUGGUGUCUUGAAAAUAGAAAAGUUAUGAUUAGCAAAGAUGUUUUUGAUGAAACUGCUAUGCUACCUAACUUAUUUCUUAAGGCUCUUCCAAUAAAGUAAAUUAAAAGCAGGCGGAACAUUAGAUUAAUCUAGAAUCUACAACAGAGUUGACUUCUCAAGCCAGUACAAAAAUUCAAAAUAGAGUUGCUUAUUCACCAGAAUACUCUAUUGUCAAAAACAAAACUAAAAGAGAAAUUAAACCUCAAAAGAGGUAUGCCGAGGCUGAUCUAGUUGCUUAUGCUUUAAAUGUAGCUGAAGAUAUAGAUGCAAACCAAGAGUCAUCUAAUUAUUUUGAGGCGGUUAGCUGUGAAGACUCAGAAAAGUGGAUGUUUGCUAUGCAAGAGGAGAUGGAAUCACUCCACAAAAAAAACAUUAGAUCUUGUGAAACUUCCUAAAGGUAAAAAGAUUUUUCGUUGUAAAUGGGUUUUAAAAAAGAAAUAGGGGACUCCAGGAGUUGAAGAACCUAGAUAUAAAGCAAGGCUUGUUGCAAAGGGUUACAGUCAAAUUCUAGGAGUGGACUUCACAGAUGUGUUCUCCUAGUUGUGAAGCAUAGUUUGAUUUGAGUUUUGCUUAGUAUUGUGGUCAUGCAUGAUUUGGAGUUUGAGCAGUUAGAUGUAAAAACUGCAUUUUUACAUGGAGAACUUGAGGAUGAUAUUUACAUACAACAACCAGAUGGUUUUAUAGUAUCAGGAAAAGAGGACAAUGUUUGCUUGCUGAAAUUCCCUUUACGGUUUGAAACAGUCACCAAGACAGUGGUACAAGAGGUUUGAUUCCUUUAUGACUUCUAAUGAUUUCAAAAGAAGUAGCUUUGAUAGUUGUGUUUACUUUAAGAAAAACAGUGAUGGUUCUUUUGUGUAUCUACUCAUUUAUGUUGAUGACAUGUUGAUAGUAGCGAAUGAUAAAUAAGAGAUAAGAAAGGUCAAAGCCUAACUAAGUGAAGAAUUUGAGAUGAAAGAUUUGGGACCAGCAAAGAAGAUACUUGGUAUGAAGAUUCUCAGAGAUAGAAAAAUAAGUAAAUUGUACAUAAGUUAGAAGGGGUAUAUUGAGAAAGUUCUUUGCAGGUUAAAUAUGCAGAGUGUUAAGCCCGUUAGUACUCCUUUAGUAGCCCAUUUCAAACUUUCAUCGGCUGUCUCCACAAUCAAAUGAUGAGAUUGAAUACAUGUCACAUGUUCCAUACUUUAGUGCAGUAGGAUCUUUCAUGUAUGCUAUGGUUUGUUCACGUCCAAAUUUAUCAUAUGCAGUCAGUGCAGUUAGCAGAUACAUGGCGAAUCUCGGUAAAGAACAUUGAAAAGCAGUUCAGUAGAUUUUAAGAUACUUAUGAGGUACUACUGAUGUUUUCUUACAGUUUGGAAGAACUAGAGAUGGAGUCAUUGGGUAUGUUGAUGUUGAUUUUGCUGGAGACCUUGAUAGAAUAUGAUCUCUUACAGGUUAUGUCUUUACAAUUGGAGGUUGUGCAAUCAGUUGGAAAGCCACUUUGCAAACUACAGUCGCUUUGUCUACCACUGAAGCUGAGUACAUGGAGAUUACUGAGGCUUGUAAAGAAGCUAUUUGGUUGAAAGGGCUCUUUAGUGAACUCAAUGAAGACCUUCAAAUCAAUACAGUAUUUUGUGAUAGUUAGAGUGACAUCUUCCUUACAAAAGAUCAAAUGUUUCAUGAGAGAACAAAACACAUUGAUGUUCGGUACCAUUUUGUUCGUGAUAUUAAUGCUCGUGGUGAUAUUGUUGUGAGCAAAAUUAGUACUCAUGAAAAUCCUACAGAUAUGAUGACUAAGUCACUUCCUAUAAUCAAGUUUGAGCAUUGCUUAGACUUGAUUGAUGUUCAUUAUUGAAGUUAAACCCUUAAGGGAUUUUAUGGAAGAGGUGGAGAACUUGUUCGUUGAGAGUUCGCGAUGAAGAACGUGUUUAUUGAGAAUUCGUGUCAAUAUGGAGAUUGUUAGAAUUAAGUGACCCGAAUCCUUAUUUAAAUAAAAUACAGUGGCAAAAUAAAAUAAAAGUAAAAUCCCUAUAAAACUAUUCUUCUUUUAUUUUAUUUUAGAAUAAGAUUUUUUAAACUUUAUUAAACCCCAUCUAUUUUAUAUUGAUUAGAAUAAGGUGUUUCAAUCUUACUACACUCCUAUUAGAAUAUGGUUUUACAAGCCUAUAAAUAGACAUAAUCUACUCCUCUUAUAAUUAUUUGAAUUCGACAUAGUGAACUUUUUUCUCCUCUGCCUGUGGUUUUUUUUUUUGAAAGGGUUUUCACAUAAAAAUCUAUGUGUUCUUUAAUUUUAUCUCUUUUCUUUGCGAUAUAUUGUCAUUACCGACAAUCUAUUUUUACAAAGAGAGAAAAAAUAUAGAUAAUGUGAAGAAUUAAGAUUGUAAGGUAAGGUAUUCAUGAUAUAGUAAUAGUUUCAUGUGUACUUUGAUUAUUUGAGCAUGAAAGUCUUGUGGAUUAAGAUUAUUAAUAUCUCAUAUGUUAUGGUAUUGAUAUCUCAUAUCCAAAUAUCCUUUAAUGAAGAUUUUGUACUUUUAGUUUCUUUCUCGUAUCACUUCACUUUAUUACUACCAAAUAUGACACUUAACACAUUUAAAAUUGAUAUAACCCCAUAAAGGUUCAUAAUACUAUCCAACCAUAAAAAAAUUACAUUUUAAUCCUUUUUAGGCUAAAAAUAAAAAAUUUGUAACUUGGUCCUUCUACUUUUUAUUUUAUUCAAUUUAGCCUAAACUCACGUUUCUUGAUACAAGUACCUCUCCCAUGUCAUCUCAAUAUCAACAAAUCAUUAUCAAUCUAUAAUUUCUCUAAUUGAUCACUUUAUACUUUGGUCCUCAUAAAUUUCCAACUUUUCUAUUUAUUCAUUUCUCCAUAUUUUUACAUCCGUGAUCUUCUUCAUAAAUUUCUAACCACAGCCUAUUAUAAUUCCUCCAAAAGUUCCCUCAACAGUCUCAUUUUCGAAAUUUCUCGAAAUUUUAUUGUAUCGCUUGGAACAAUGCCACUUACUAUACCAGAAAAUUUGGGGUGUUACAACUACGAUGAUCAAAUAAAAAUAGACUAAAUAGAAGACACAAAGGAUUGUUUAUGUUGAUUUUCCUAUGUUUGUGGAGCCCGACUCGAUGAAUAAAUCCACUAUCUUUUCACCAAUAAGUGAAUCAUUUCCUAACACCCUUUAGUUUAAAAACCUUACUUUUAUACCUAAAGACUAGAUCACUCACCUCUAGAUUCUCCCUCUGAGAAUUUAUGUUGUAAACACAAAUUGUUUACUCUCAAUUGCACUCACAAAAUACAUUCCUCUAUGAACAAUAAAGUUCUUUCUAUGCUCUAUAUAAAAACUUAUAAAAGUCUCUCAAUAUAUAGAAGUUUUAAAGAGUUGCAAUAUAUUAGAGAUUAAUUACAAUCCAACCCUUUAAUUAUAAAAUACAAUAUAUUACUAAAGACCAAUGUAAAGCUUAUUGUUGAAGUUUCAUUUUUCAAUGGUAUCUUCAACGUGACCUCGAUCCGUUCUCCACAAUUCAAUGGAUUUAAUUUCUUGAUCCAAACCAAUCCGAUCUUCAAGGAAAGUUACUUUAAAUGGAUUGAACUUCAUAGUUGAGCUUGCAUAUAUCUAGAAUAUCAAUAUCAUUCAAAGCUAAAAUUUGUUUCAAUAAAUUGCCAACAUUAAAUUUGGAAAAUAUCAAGUUGUUACAGGGAUCAUGAAAGUGGUCACUUUUAAUUGGCACUUAGCUGGUCACUUCAAAAACUUGCCUCAAUAGUACAAAACAUACACACUCCACAAGCCUCCUUACAUAUAAGAGGUAUUAUAUAGUUCGAAGGGGGGAUCACAAAUACAAAGCAAGCCACAAAAAUGUAAGCAUCCAUAUUUGAAGAGUGGUGAAAAUUUCUCUUCAAACAAGCAAGAGCUUUCCCGUACAUUUGUUGCCCUCCUUGAAUGUGUGUUGCUCAAACCUCUCCAAGAGAGUCUUGCAAUCACGAAUUUGUUGGAAAUUGUAGAUUGCAAAUUUAAUUAUUGAUGAGUGCUUAUUCAAAUUUAGAAAGUGAUGAUUUAUCAUUCAAUGGAUACAUUUCAAUGGGACAUAUUUCUUCUAAGAAGUAUGUCCAACAUGAAGGGUUGUGACUCCUCAAAAUAGUUUCUAUUAAGUGCAUAUAAAUAGAGGGUCUAUGGUGCUCACAAAAUCAUUACAAUCAAUCCUAUUUUCAGAAAUUAGAGUAAGAGUUAGGGAAUUCCUCGAUUUUGCUAAUCAAAGGAAAUUCAAAAGCUUUGUUGUAUCUUGGGAGGACCUUUGUCUUAACCCUCUAUCAACUUUGUGUGGGGGCAAAUAGUUCUCUUUGGAAAAUGUCACUCGCGCCUUGAAGUCUGUUGUUUAAUUCAAUAUCGUCUUCGGUUCUAUCUUCUCCACUCAAUAUAUCCAUUAGAAUCAUGGCAGAGAGGUAAUGUUUAGUCAAACUAACAUUAGUUAUAAGCGAAAUAACCACAAUAGCGUUCAACUCGAUCCCAAUAUUCCUAAUGUUAUUUUUUUCAUAAGCCUCAACCCAUCAUGGAGGGUCGAUACUUUGCUUUGGACAUUAGUGUCAAAAGAGAUAUGCCUAUAAGAUCCAAUCACUCAUUUACCAAAGUGAUCUUUGAUGAUGGUGUCGGCUCGCACAAUCUUAAGUUGCUUAAGAGUCAUCAUCUUUUAAUUUAAAUCAUGCCACAUGUGAAAUUCUCUACGAUAAUAUGGUACUCUUAGUAAUCAAAGCAAGUUUCCAAAGAAAAUCAAGAUGAUGACAUUGAAUUUCCAUAUUUAAUUCUCUACACAAGGAAUUUUCCUUAAUGAUGUAUCCUAUGUCAUAAACAUAACAUAAUUUCAUUAUAAUUGUCACUCAAUUUAAUUUUUUUUUUAAAAAGUAAUCAAAAUUAUUUUCAACAAAUUGUUUCCUUUUUUCUUAUAAGUUAUUUUAAAGGCGCAUAAGCAUACAAUUUUGAAAUGUAUGCCUAUAAAAUAAUAAAUAUGAUGCUAAUUUUUUUUGUAACAAAUAUGGUUAAAUUUGAAAAAAAGAAGAAGAUGAUUUUAAAUAAUAUUUAGGGAGAUGUAUCAUUUUUCUGACAUUUAGGGGAAUAUACUGAUUUUGGUGAGGGAAACGGAAAAUGCAUCUUACUAGACGUACUUUUUGACUUUUUAACACAUUAAUUCCUUUGGUUAGACGGUUAAAUAUUAGUGAUUUUGCCUUUGAGUCUUGAGUUUGAUUCCUCUCCAACUCAUAUUUGUAUUUUUAUUUCAUUUUGUUUCAAGCUUUACUUUUAUUUUUAAUUACUAUUUUUAACACAUUAGCUCCUUUAGUUAGAUGGUCAAAUAAUAGUGAUUUUAUCCUUGAAUAAUUUUUUAACACAUUAAUUCAUUUUUAAUUAAUAAUUUUUUAGUUAUAAAAUCAAAUAAUUAUUGUCAAAUAUAAUUAUUUUUAGUAAACAUAAUUCUUAUAUGUGUAAAAUUUAUUUUUCAAUUCAUAUCAUAAGUGUAUUAAGUUUUAGUAUUAUAUAUUUUUUUAUGUGUAUUUGAAAUAAUUAUUUGAUUUUAUAAUAUUAGAAAUCAUCAUACUCGCAAUAUAAGUGGAGAAAAUAAAUAUUUGACAUAUAAAUAUUAUAUAUAAAAAUAUAUAAAAAAAUUUGUUGAUGUUUUUAAAAAUAAAAUAUAUUUAACAUAAUGAUAAAUAUCAAUAUUAUAAAAAAAUAUUUUUAUUAUAUAAUAGGCAAUAAUUAUUUUAUUUUAUAAAUAAAAGAGUUAUUAACUAAAAAGAUGAAUUAAAAAUAAAAAAAAUUGAAAACAAUAUAUUUAUUAAUUAAAAAUAAUAAAAAAACUUGAAGUAACAUAAAAUUAAAAAAAUACAAAUGUGCUUAGAAGAUGUAUUGAACUUGGGACUCAAGAAUAAAAUUAUUAUAUAACCAUCUAAUCAAAAGAGCAAACAUGUUAAAUUGGUAAUUAAAAAUAAAAAUAAAACUUGAAACAACAUAAAAUAAAAAAUAAAAAUGUGAAUAAGAGAUGAAUUAAACUUAAGAUACAAGAUAAAGUCUAACAUUUAACCAAAAAGAUUAAUAUAUCAAAAAAUCAAUAAGUGUGCCCUAUUGGAUGUUGAAAACACUGAAAUAUAUUAUUUAUUUUUCUCUUUAAUUAACCUAUUUUCUUAAAUAUUAAAAACAAUCCUAUAUUUUCUUAAAUAUUUUUUAAAAUCAACAUUUUUUUCAAAUUUAGCCGUGCUAAUUGAUUCCUGGAUAGUAUUUCCAUUUUCAAAAGAUUAUGUCGUGGCUCAUUAGCCACCAACCAAACUCAUUUCAAAUCAAAUCGGGUAGACCGCUUUCGUGUAAAACACAACUACCGAUGUAAAGAUCCAAGCAAGCAUCUCAGUUUUCUUUUCUAGAUAUGAAUGGUCGGAUUGGGGUUUUCUUUUCCAUUAAACUGUCGUGAAGCCUGGCGGUGCUGAACCCUCAAGAGCAAAAGAAAUGGAGAAACAAGCGGAAAACUCCAGCAGGUUGGUGCUUGUCUUAUAUCCAUUUCAAGGCCAUAUAAAUCCCAUGCUCCAGCUAGCCACUAUAUUUCAUGCAAAAGGCUACUCAAUCACCAUAAUUCACCCUGAAUUCAACUCUCCAAACCCUUCAAACCAUCCUCAAUUCACCUUCAUAUCCGUCCCAGAUAAGCUGCUUGAGUCCAAAGUGUCCCUCUCACCCGGGGAUUUUAUGAAUUUGGUUUUGGCUCUCAACAAGAACUGUGCAGCACCGUUUAAGAAAUGCUUGAAACAAAUGUUGGAUGACGAGCAUCCCUGUGAACGUAUUGCUGGUGUAAUAUAUGAUGGUCUCAUGUACUUCGCUCAAACGGUCGCCGAUGAUCUUGGUUUACCAGGCAUUAGCAUGCGUCCCACUGCUGCAGCAAUGUUACUCUUUGCUGUUAUUCCUCAAAUUGAGCAAGGUAUGUCUGGCAAAUUCAAAAUUUCUGCUUUUCAGUUAUCUGGUAUCAAUCAAUCAAAUCAAAUAUUCUCAGUGACUUCCUCUAAUUAAUAGCUUUAUGCCUUUUAAUGUAAUAGAGUCCGUCUUUGACAGACAAAUACCGGAGCUUCAACCCCUUGAGCUUACACAAAUGGUUACAUCUAUGUCAAAGAGUCCAACGGACGCCAUGACAGAGGUGAGAGCUGCUUCCUUAAAUGCAAUGAAGAGAUCGGCCGGUAUGAUUGCCAACUCAAUAGAAUUCCUUGAACAUGCAGCACUGACAAAGAUUGGAGAACACUCUCCUGUUCCAGUUUUCACAAUUGGCCCUUUUCACAAAUUAGCUCCAUCCAGUUCCAGCUCAUUACUGCAGGAAGAAGCUGACUGCAUUUCUUGGCUCGACAAGCAAGCCCCGAAAUCUGUUAUCUAUGUCAGCUUUGGAAGCAUGGCCAGCUUGAGUAAGCAAGACAUUGUUGAGAUAUCUUGGGGGUUAGCCAACAGUGAACAGCCAUUUUUGUGGGUGAUUAGGCCUGGUUUGGUUCUUGGGUCCGAGGGCACGGAGCUGUUGCCAGAUGGUUUCCUAGAGACAGUUGGGGACAGAGGUUGCAUCGUCAAAUGGGCACCUCAAAAGGAGGUGUUGGCGCAUUGUGCAGUGGGCGGAUUUUGGACUCACUGUGGAUGGAAUUCAACACUUGAGAGUGUCUCCGAAGGGGUACCGAUGUUAUGCAGGCCUUGUUUCGGGGACCAGUUUCUUAACAUGAGGUACAUCUGUUAUAUAUGGAAGAUAGGCCUGGAAUUGGAGAAUGAAUUGGAGAGGGGAAAGAUAAAAGGAGCUAUAAAAACACUACUAGUCAAUAUAGAAGGAAAGGAGAUGAGAAAUAAAGCUAUGGAAUUUAAGGGGAAAACAGAACUUUGUCUAAGAGAAGGCGGCUCUUCAUCGAGCUCCUUGGAUGAGUUCACAAAGCGUAUCUUAUCCGUUUGAUCACUUGAGGAGAUGCUCUAACAUUAAGUAGUAGCUUUUGCCUGUUUGGUUUGUUCUUUAAUGGCGUUUUCUGCAUUUAAUUUUAAAGUUGGGAGUCUAUUGUAUACGUCAUGGUUUCUAGUUCAUGACAAUCAGUGAUGAUAAUUUGUUGGUUAGGGUUUCUAGUCUGCACAAUGAUAUGGUAAACGCUAUGUGAUUGAAAAUGUAUUUAUUAUCAAAAUUUAAACCUUGUUGCUUCUUGUUUUGAUCAGAUUGAUUGAGCUUCAUUAUAAUAUGAAGCUAUAUAUCUGCCUAGACCAGUUUAUGGUGUCCAAGCUCAAAAGUGGAUGGGUUUGAUAAACAUGUAAGUUUGAAAAAUGAGUUUAGACAAAAAAAAUAAGGUUUAAUUUUUAAAUGGGUCAAAUUUCGGGUAAGGUUUUGUUGGCUCGGGUCUAGUCUGACCCAAAUUUGUAAACAUAAAACUUGCUGCUGUUUCCAUUGUUUUGAUGCUGUUUUACUACUGUUUUGCUGUCAUUUCACUAUUAUGCUACUACUAUUUUGUAUUAUUUGAAUAUUGUAUAAAUAUUAUUUUAUUGUUAGUUUUGUUACUAUUUUUAGGGUCGACUUUGGGGGCUAUUUUUGAGGUGCAGCCACCAAGGCCCAAAGAUAAAAAAAGCCCAAAAAUGUUUAUUUUAUUAAUGAUAGAAGGGGCCCAAAAUAUAAAAAUAUAUUUAAAAUAAUAUUUAUUUCAAAUAAAAAGAUUCUUAAAUAUUAUUUAUUGUUUGGUAUAAAUAAUAUUCUUAGUAGGGUAAUUAUUCUGUCCAAUAUUAACGGAGUAAAAAACUCAACAAGCACAUCUAAAUUAAUGCCAAGUGUUUUUUUAAGUAUUAUUUUAUUAUACUCUAAAAACAAAUGACAUUAAUCUAGACAAAAAACUUUUACUCUAGUAACAAUAUAUAAAAUAAUUAUUUUUUUAAUAAAUUCACAACUAAAUUGGGGUUGGAUUAAUUCAUAAGUAAAAUUCUUUUUUUUUUUGAUAAAAUGAUUGGGUGUUUUAUUGGAAAAAGAGGAAAGCAACUGGAGGCCCAACAGACCAUUGGACCCAGACCUAUUACAUCAAAAACUGAAGUAAAUCUGGCCUCACUAUAAUGUUGAUAGUGAAUACCUCCUAACCAGCAAUUAACACGCAAUUUAAUGGAAACGGAAAGCAAUAAAUGAAAAGUAAGAAAAAGGACCCUAAAUAUCUACCCCAGUCAAUUCUAAAACGGCUGGAUACCAUUAAUUCUCCUGAUUUGUUAUUUCAAAAUUCAAUCUAUUCUGACGAUAGCAGUUUCUAAGGAUAAGACUUUACUUGAUAUCAUCUUUUGAAAUCAUUUCCCUCAAACGCUCCUUCAGUCUGGAUUUCUUAGCCAUCUUCUCUCCGAAGCAAAAAUAUGGUGCUUCAGCUCUUCUCCCAUCAGGUAAAAGGUUUCUCCUCUAUCAAGAGCGUCUUUUGCUAGUCUAUAUGCAUGCGAGUUCCCUGAGAUGUGAAUAUGCUGAAAGAUAAUCUCUUGAAAACAAGGUUUCUUAUUCUGAAUGUCUCUGAUAAUAGCUCCAAUCACUGAUUUAUCUGUGUCGAAACCUUUUUUGAAAACAAAAAUUUAGUUGUCGACUUUAAAAAUUAAACUGGAGUCGCCACCGAUCCUUUAUUAAAUGUGUGAUCGGCCCACCCUAUUUUGGUCAACGAAUUUUGAGAAAAUGAGUCCGGGAGUCAGUUACGCACGAGGAAGGGUUAGCACCCUCGUAACGCCCAAAAUCGGUACCAAAUUGAUCAUUUAAUGUCUUGGUGUCGAAGGUUAAAAAGAUUUUAAAAUCAACUCGAAUGAUUAAAUUUGAAAAAGGAUAAUCAAUUGUUCAAGUCAUGUAAAGAAAUCGAGUCCCAAUACAUUAGGGUACAAUUCCUCAUAAUCCCCGAACUUUGAAUAUCACUUUUAUUUUAUGCGAAAAUCUUCAUUUCGAGAAAGUAACAUGCCACACCCAAUACGUUAGGGCACGACAAGUUAAGUUCUCAAAAAUGAUUUUUAUACUCAUGCAUUUUAAAUAAAGAAUAUCCUCGGUUAUUUAAGAUUAACAAAAAAAAAAUCAGAACUCAAUACGUUAGGGCUCAAUUUUCCUCGAAAAUCCCAAACUUCGAAUAUUAUUUUUAUUCAAAAAAAACCUUUGAAUCAAGAGAAAAUGAUUUUGAUGUUUUGACAAAACCAAAAUAUAUCUUCUUGUUUAAAAAGAAAUGACAUAAUGUUAAUAUACAACAUGAAACACAUACCUUAAUUUUAAAUUAUAUUCGUAUGUGAAUUAUGAAAUGUCAAUGCAUAAAUAUACAUGUAUGCAAAAGUUAUGAAAAUAAAAGAAUAAUAAAAUAUAUAUAUAUAUAUAAUAUGUACAUGUAUUUACAAAAUAUGUAUAUAUAUAUUUAUCAAAAAAUAAAAGAAUAAAAAAAUAUAUUUAGAUUUAUACAGAUAUAUAAAUUAUUAAAUAUAUAUAAAAAAAUAUGAAAAUAUGUAUAUACAAAAAAAUUUAUGUAUAUAGGUAUAUAUAUAUGUACGUAAUAAUUAUGAAAAUAAGAUAAAAAAAAUAAAAGUAUAUAUAUGUGUAUAUAUUUACAAAAUAAAAGAUGUAUAAGUAUGUAUUGGAAGAUCGUGGAAAUACAUAUAUGCAUAUAUAUAAAUUAUAAAGUUUAAAAAAAAUUAGGAAAGUAAAAUAAAAAAUAUAAAAAAGUAUGUAUGUAUAAAAUAUAAUGUAUGUGAAGGUUAAAAAAAAUAAAAAAACAUAUAUAAAAAAAUAAAAUAAAACGCAUGAAUGAAAAUGUAUGCAUGCAUGUUCUAAAGCUUAAGAACACAUAUAUAUUAUAUAAAGAAAUAUGUAUAUAUAUACUAUAUAAAAAUGCAUGUAUAAGUUUAGAAAUAAUUAUAAAAAAUGAUAGUAAAUAAUAUGAUAAUAAUAAAUAAUGGUACAAUGAUAAUAGCAUAAAAAAUAAUAAAAAUAACUAAAAAAAAUGGACUCAAUUGAACUAAAACGGAAAAAAAUGGGGCAGAUUUGAAAUAAGUUAAAAAAGACCAACUUGAAUGCGCAAGCAAUAAUGGAGGACCAAAAGGGAAAUUAUUCCCACCUUCCAUAACGCUGCGCAGCGAGGGACCAAGUUGAACAGAAAUGAAAUUCGCGGCUAAUUUUUAAAAAACAAAAUGAGUUUAAUUGAAAUGCAUCACAAAAAGCAGGGGCUAAAUGCGCAAUUCUACCAUUAAAAGCCAGAACGCGCGGAUCCUCCCCUCUGGGUCGGGUCACCGCGCGGCUCUGGCCAUUUAAAACGGCGUCGUUUUGUCGUUUCAAUAAAAACAAAAUUUCCCUUUUAAAAAAAUUUGAUAGCCCAUUUUAAAACAAAAAAAAGAAUGCUGCCCCUUUUGCUCUGCUAGGGUUUCGACCCUAGCAUCCUUGCGCCGCCGUUCAUCAGCCUCCCCACCCAAAGCUUCGAUGACGGCGGAGAUGGUGGUGGCACGACGACCUCGGCGAACAGGUAAGUGUUUUUCCCUUCUUUUCUUUGUUAUUUUAGGUAAAAUAAAAUGAAAAAAAAAAGAAAAAAAAAAGAAAUAUGCAAAUAAAAAGAAAUGAUGAACACUUCAAAGUAAAAACAAAACCUUUGAAAAAACGAAUUUCCUCUGUAUUUCUCUCUAUUUUUGUACUUUUUUACACUCCAAAAACCCUGUAUUUACAUAUUGAAGUUGGCCUUUUAUAGCCAAAAUGGAAAUGAAAAAAAUCAAAAGAAAUCUGUAUUGUUCUCGAAUUUUUGCUAUUCUGUUUGUUUGUUACUGUAGGUAUGGUUGGAGGAGCGGCGUUUGCGGAGGUGUGGCGCACGUGGAGCGGGGUCGGCCCCGAGACGUGCGGCGCUGGAGGUUGCUGGUGGCUGCUAUGCAACUAAGGCUUUGCUUAGGUUUUUUUUAUUUAAUGUAUUGGGCUAUCUGGGCUUGUAUUUUGUUUGGGUUUAUUCUUUAAUGGGCCAGGCACAUUUGGGCUUAUACAAUCUGUUAAAGUCAUUUGGUAUCUUUUGAUUAUUAUUUUGGAGUCCCUAUAAGUCUAACCGAUUGAAGUCCCAGUGAGAUCCUAACUUUGUGCCUUCCAAACAUGCAGACGCUUCUGCUGCAAAUGGAGAGGAAAUAUUAUUGUGGAUGAUCGUCUUUAAGACCAGUAGUUCCCCCCUCAGAUCCCAACCCACCAGACCUGCCGCUGAUUUGAAGUUUCUACUUUCAAACGAUGCAUCGAAAUGGAUCGUUACUCUCGGUAUGUCCUCCUGGAUUCUGUAAUUUCUGUUCAUAUUAGCAGGGAUCUUAAUUGCUUUCAUUCCUUCAUGUUCUUCCAUAUGCCUCUGUAUGUUUUGUGCUAAAACUACUCUUGUUGUAUUUUGCCCCUCAUGUAUGAAUUGAUUUCUAGAAAACCAUAUUAACCAUAAAACAUAACAGAAGAGUCGGCAUUGAGCGCCGUUACCUCUCUUGAAAACCCAGAUUAGCCACUCCCAUAGAAUUUGAUUCGUAUUAUUCAUGACCUAGGAUAAAUGAAAAAACUGUCAAACUUCUGUUGUUGUGGGACAUUCACGGAAGAUAUGAAAGCUAUCUUCUGCCCAGGAGUAGCAACGGGGACAUCUAUCGUUUGAAAUGACUUUUCUGUACCUGAGAUUAGCAAGAUUAGGAAUAAAAUCCCAGGAAAUUCGCCAAAUAGUGAUUGCGAUUUUUGAAGGUGACUGUAGGCUCCAUAAUUUCCUGUAAAAUUCUUUAGUUUCGGUCUAUAAUAAAUAAUUAGUAGGAUCCAGAAUAACAUCUUGUAAUAGUUUAUAGGCACUGCGUACUGAAUACUCGCUGGAUAAUUCUCUUUUCUAAACUUGAGUAUCCUUGUGAUCAGUCUCUGUAAGAGGGAUCUGUAGAAUUUUCUGAGCAAUUUCUGCUUGAAAGGUACUAUUAAUCAAAUCCGACCUCUAUUUUCUGUUUGUAUUAUCAAUAAGAUCCGAGACUAACUGUAAUUCCCCAUUGUUUGAUUUGUUAUGUCCAUCAACUGUAUCGAUCCCCUGUAUCCAGCUAUCUUCCCCGAUAGAAAUUUUGUCUCAUCUGCCCACUCUCUAGCACAUCCCUUUUUGGAGAAGUCCCUUUGCUGCCCAUAUACUCUUCCAAGUAAGUGAAGGUAAAUUUCCCAACUUUGCAUUUAGAAAACUUGAUCGCGGAUAGUACUUUGCUUUUAAUACUCUGGCUAAUAAAGAAUUUGGAUAAUUAAUAAGAGGCUAACCCAGUUUGGCUUAUAACGCAAUAUUAAAUUGACCAAGAUUUCGAAAACCUAAACCACCAUUUUCUUUUAAGGAACAAAGGUUUUUCCAAAUGCACCAAUGAAUUCCCCUUUUUUCGUGUCCCUUCUGCCACUAGAACCUCGCAACGAUACUUUCGAGUUCAUCACAUAGAACUUUAGGUAAUAAAAAACAAGCCAUCGCGUAAGUUGGUAUAGCCUGAAGAAUGGCCUUUAUAAAUACUUCCUUUUCAUCCUGACAUAAAUACUUGUUACUCCUAUUGUCAAUACAUUUUUUGAGUCGGUCCUUCAGAUUUUGAAAAGAUUGCUUUUUUCUCUGACCCACCAUAUUCGGCAACCCUAGGUAACGCUCUGGUUUGUUCGAACUGCUGACCCCUAAUAGAUUGACAACCAGUCUCCUAUCUUCCUCCAAUGUGUUCUUACUAAAAAAUAUUGUUGUUUUGUCAAAAUUAACACAUGGACCCGAGUAAGAUUUGUACUCGCGUAGAAUGUCUUUGAAUAUAUUAGCAUCCUUGCUUGUUGCCUCCCCAAAUAAUAUGCAAUCAUCAGCGGAUAAUAGAUAGGAUACAUGUGGGCCACUUCUAUUAACCUUAACACCUUUUAAGAAACUUCCAUUUGUUGCUAGUCUCAAUAGGCUCGAUAGACCCUCACCACAUAAAAGAAAUAAGAACGGACAGUUAAGUAAAAUUCUUAAAUAAUAAUAGUAUGAAUAGAUAUUUUUUUCUUACUUGAAUACAAAAAUUAUAUUUUUUCGACACAUUAAAAUAAAAAAUUAUGAUUUAUUAUGAUAAUCAUCACGCCAUAUCCAGUUAUAAUUGGUUUUUUAUAUAUAAAAAUCUAAAAAAAAAUCUAGCCUCCAGGAUUUGUACAACCGUGACCUAGGUGUAACUAAGAUAGAUACUAUAUAUUUGAAAUUUAAUCCUUUUAUAUUUUAUGUUUUAAAAUUCGGGUUCAAUUGUUAACCCCAUCCAAAUUUUCUAAUAAGUUCAUUAAUAUGAUAUUUUAAAAUAAAAAAGAUACUCACUUAAUAGUCAUGUAUAACAUUACACAUUAGACUAAAAUUCGAGCUUAAUUUUGAGUUUUGUCCCCUUUAUUUGUAGUAACUAAUUUUAAAAUAAAAAAUUGAGAAGGUUUUUUUGGAAAACAUUGAUGUUGAUGUUAUCAUUAAUGAUUUUGCAUCUCAAAAUGUUCGUAGAACCCAUUUUUUAUGUUUUUUUUUUUGUGUUUUUGUAGUUGAUCACAUAGACGUAAAUUGAAUGAAAAAUGGUUUUUUUUUAAUUUUGUUAGAAAAAUAUUUUAUUGUAUUACAUUUUAUAUUUUUUUUAAACGGGCCCAAUUUAUUAUUUCACCUAGGGCUAAAAAAUAUUAAGAACGAGUCUGACUAUUUUAAAGGCAUUUGCUUGUUAAGUUACAUCUAUUUUAAUGUUAUUUAAAUUUAGGUAUAAAUAUUAAAUAUUAUCUUAUUUUAUUUUAUUUUAUUUUAAAUUUGUUGGGAAAAAAUGUUUUAAUGUUUGUAAUGUAUUUUAUGUAUUAUAUUUUUAGUUUUUUUACAUAAAAAUAAUAAUAUUAAAAAUUUCAUACGGACAGAUUGAACCAAAUUCAAAUUUUAAUAUUUUUAUCUGAAUCGAGUUUGAAUAAAAUUUUAAAUCUAUUUUUUGAACUGACCCCAAAUUAAAAAAAACAAAAAGUCUAAAAUUAUGUUGGGAGCUACCCGACCUAUGAUAACCCACAGAUCCCACUAACGAAGUUAUUAUACUUCAAGUGGUGGAUCUAGAAGGUCCUAGACAAUGAAGGGUUUUAUUUUCUACUUAAAUAAAAAAACAAAUUGAGUCAGCAGGCAUUAAAUACGUAGAUACUUCCAAGGCCACAAGUCACAAGUUUGUUUGUUUUCGAAAAAGGAGGUCAAAAUUGAGUUGCGUCGGGCGAGUUGAGAUGUUCUCCAGGAGCAAAACUUUCUUAAUAUAUUCAAUCAUUUCAUCUGAUCUUUUUAAUUACGGACUCCAUUAGUCAUUGAGACUUGAACUCCCUGAGAAACAGGAAAAAAAGAAUGGAGAAGCAACAGAAAUCCAGUCAUGUGGUGCUUGUUAUGGUAACCUUUCAAGGUCACUUAACUCCCAUGCUCCAGCUAGCUAGUCUCUUGCACUCAAAGGGCUUCUCAAUCACUAUAGUUCACCCUGAAUUUAACUCUCCUAACCCUUCAAACCACCCCGAAUUCACUUUCAUAUCCAUACCAGACAAGCUCACGGAAUCUCACUUCUCAGAUAAAGAUGCUGCAAGUCCUGUGUGGAAUCUCAACAAAAACUGUGCAGCACCAUUACAGCAAUGCCUCGAAAAGAUCUUGCACUCUCUU